rnacentral:lncRNA from 1 species
UUAAAUACAAUCCAUGUACGUAAUUGUCCACUUCUAAAGAAGCUGCCACUCAGCGCCAACAGUGCCAAGGGAAAUCGAAUUGUCAUUGCAGGACACAACAAGUGGUGGAAUGAAGUAGAGUGGGAGGAUGAGGCUACCCAAAAUGUUUUUCUUCCAUGUUUCGUACCUGUUAGAGAAUAAGGGGCUGCAGCAAUCUCAGAGAGGCUACGAUGCGAUUCUAGGUGAGACCCUUUUCACAAUUAACUAUCAUUUGAUCCUGAAUAGGUAUUGGUCCAAAUAAAGCAUUCAAUUAUAGCAUCUUUUCAUGGUUGGUCCAAAUAUGUUGUUUCUCUUUGAAUUGCAAUAUUACAUUUUUUGUAUUCUAGGGAUUGUGAGAUGCAUUUUAUGAUUUGCGUAAACAAAAUUGAGUUCGAUGGCUUUCCUUAAUUGCUCUACUUCAAAUGAAGAGCAUGUACAUGAUAUCUUUGAUGGGAAACAAUCUAAUGUACAUAAUUUCAAAAAUAUAAUCAUAUUUUCAAAUAGAAAAGAUAGUUGAGUCAGGGUACUCCUAGAUCAACUAGCAAUUGUAUCUUUGUUCUUGGAGAAGCAAGCAUUCUUGAGAGAAAAAAAAUCAAGUCCCACUUCGUACAAAAAUUUUAGGGGAGAACUUGCCCAAGUCAUGGGUAGACCAUAAUUGAGACACCUUAGCUAAGGGUCCCAUUUGGUUCCCUAUCCGUGUAUAUCAAAUACACCUUUUCAUAUUGUAAUGGGAAUUGGAGUGUGGGAUUUAUACAACAUUAAAGCAUGUAUUCCUUAAUUUUGCAGUAAGUUAAAGAGGAUGAAACAUUUUUUAUUUGUUGCAAUUCAAGAGCAUGUACUAAAAUGCUCUCCCCUUGUGUUCAAAAUAGAAGAACUCAUUUAUCUUAUAUCCUAUAAAACUUUUUUCAAAAUUUUGAGAAAGUGAAAAAUUUUCACUUCCUUAAAUUUUUAAAUUUUUUUAAUCAAGUGUUUUCAAGUAUAUAAGUUAUUUACUUGUUUUUGUAUAAUAAUUCUUAUAUUUUAUAUAAGACUUCCUAUUUUAAAAAUAAAAAAUAGAAUAUGUAUCCAACCAUACACUAAGUGAUUCUCUUAACAAAAGUACCAUAAAUAAAAAUACUUUAAUGAGAAUCACUCUCAAACGUGUUCUAAGUUAUAUUUUCUAAUGGACUAGCUUUUCUAUCAAAAAAGUUCUUGAGUAGACAAUAAUUUAUAAUUAAAUGCAAAGCAUUUUUACUCCAUAGUAAUUUUUAUUUACCUUUUUCCAGUUUAAUAUCCAUCUCUCAAUAUCUUGGUAUUUUAAACUAAAGAUAUAAUUUUAUUAGUUGUGUGCAUGACAUUAUCUUAUAUAUCCAUGUAAGGUUUUUUCUAAAAUAAAUAAUUAAAAAUUUCAUUAUUUAAAAAAAUAGAAUCAAUAAUAUCUUAUUUUUAUAUAAUACCAAAAUUAACAAAUUUCUUAGCAUUUUCAUGUUCAUAAAAAAGAAAUAAAUAAGUAAAUGUGUGAAACUAAUAAAAAUAAUUGUUGAUUUAGGGUAAUUAUUUGGAAUAUAAUAAUAUUUAAACAAUGGAGCAUUAACUUAACUUACCUAUAUCAUUUUACCCAACAUAAGUUUUUUAUUAUUAUUUUAACAUACUAUCCAAUCACACUUUUUUUUGUUUAUAUCCAAAUAAUAAUUUCUUCUAUUUUACACUAUUUAAGAUGGGGUUUAGCAAAAAAUGGAUGCUGAUUUUGUUGUAUCAAAGAUUCAACAUUCUUUUGUUAAAGGCCGUUAAAUUUUGGAUGUAAAUUUGAAAGCCAAUGAAGCCAUAGAUUUUAGACUAAAGAGUUUGAGAGGAUGAGUGAUAUGUAAGUUGGAUAUUCAGAAGUCCAACAAUCAUGAGAUUUGGCAACGAGUGAAUAUGUUGGAUACAAUUCCUCAUGUCUAUUGUAACAAUUUCACUGCUUGUGAAUGACUCUCUUUUUGGUUUCUUUCAAAGUCCAAGUGGGUUGAGACAAGGGACCCUCUUAUCUCCUUCUUUGUUUGUUCUAAUUAUGAAGACUUUUAAUUGUUUUGUUACCAAGGUGACAAGAUGGGGCUUCUUUUAUGACUUUAAAGUAAGGGAAGAGGAAGAAAAUGGUAGGAAGUCUCCCAUUUACUCUUUGCAUUAUGAUAAAUUUCUUUUUUUAUUUUUUAAUUAUGGACUCGGUUUUGAUGUGUAGUCAUCUCAAAAUUGAGAAUAAGCUCAAAGAAAAGUGAAAAGUCCCCAAUAUUGAAGAAUUAACCUCUUUGUUAGGUUCUAAGGUGGUUAAGUAGCCCUCCUCCUAUCUUUUUUUUUUUUUUUUGGAUAAUCGAAGAACCUUCUAAAUGCUUAGGACUCUCCAUAGGGACCCAAACCUUUGCCCCCCCUCCCUAACAAUCGGCACUAGGUAAAUCAAAGUAUCAUCAAUAGCAAGAUUCAAAAUCAAGAUCAUAUGCCUCUUACUGGAACUACAUCUCCCAUCAUUCACCCUAACCAACUAGGCUACCUGGCGGGCUAGUUACCUUCCUUCUUAGUCUUCCUAGGUUCUCCCUUCAAAGUCUUCUACUAUGUCAAAUGUUACGAAGGAGAGGCUACUUAAAAGGUUAGCCUCAUGGAAGUGCUAUUUUUGUCUACAAAUGAAGAUUAACCCUUUUGAAAAGCAUUUUAUCCAAUGUGGCCAUUUACUAUUUGUCACUGUUUGUUAUCCCAAAAAGGUUCAUAUGAGGUUAAAAAUGAUUAAGAAAGUGUUGGUGGCAAACAAGUUUUUUAGAGAAAAAACCUUAUUUAGUCAACUCAUAUACAAUGUAUUUAGAUAAUAAAAUUAAAUUAAAAAUGGAAACGUUGAUAUAAUCAUUUUGUUCCCAAAUAUAUAAUUUAUAUUAUUAAAAUUCAAAAUAAUUAUAAAAAGGAAAAUAAUUAAAAAUAACCAAAAAUAUAUUUUUUUAAGUGAAGACACUUUUAACUUUUCUAACUGUUUUCUAACUUUCACAUAUCAAUAAUAAAUAAAUAAAUAUAUAAUUAUUUUUUACUUUUUAAUUAAAAUAAUUUUAGAAUAUUAAUUUUUAGACCCAGGGCAUGUGCAAAACAAUAUUGUUUAUGGUCAAAAUGACAAUUGAAUAGGAUGGUGCAGUCCAUCCACUCCAAUUUUUAAAACCAUGUUUUUAAACAAGGCUCCAUUGAGUAAGUAGAGUUGCAGAUUUGCCAUAUAUAGGGAUAAGCUUCAAAGACAACCAUCUUAGAUAAAUUUUUGGUGAGGAGGGAGGAUGGUAGGACUAUGGAAAGAAAUUAGGAAAUGAUGGAAGGUGUUUCAAACAAGAAGUGGCUUUUGAGCUAUCCUCUUUUUUAUUAUAUACUAACUAAACACAUUAAUUAUUCCACCAGCCCAACUCUGUGUAGGAAUCAAACUUCCCAUAUAGAACAAUUUUAGCUCACAGAAGUAGACAUCCAACAUUAGUAAGACCUUUGUAUGUCAGUACCUAGCAUUUAUAAUGCAGAACAAGAAACUACAAAACACUUCUUCCUGAGGUUGUACAAAUUUACACCUGCAUUAAAUGAACUCCUCCAAAUGGGCUACAUCAGACAUGACACAUUAUGAAUAAGGUAUGAAUAAGGCUUUACACUUAGGACCAAAUCAACAUAUAUUUAUAUUGGGCUGAUUUUGAUGCAAAUCAAAUAAAACUUUUACAUUUAGUACCAUCGUCCAACAUUAAUUCACCAUGGUCCUAGAUGGUCAUGCAUGUUUUGUUUCCCAUAUUUUUAUUAGUCGUCCAUGGAAGAACCUACAUGGGUCAUUUAGAGGGGCCCAUCACAAUAACACAGCCCAAUAAAAUUAAUGAAGUCUUAGAAACUGAUUCUAUGAUCCAUGCAUGCAACAAGCUGAGAAAAUAAUCUUUCAAGUUAAGAUUGGACAGUUGAGCUCCCUUAGAAACUCUACCACAUUUCAAAUCUCAUUUUCCCUCAUUUAUGUAUUGGCAUACACUGCCCUUUAUCUGCUCACAAAGAAUUAGAGCUUACCAAGAAAAAGUUCCCGUUCAACUCAAACAGUGUAGAGGAUUGUGAAGUAGUUCAAGGAGAGGAAGAGUGGCUGAGUGAGUUAGAACGGGAGGACAAAGCUACUCUAAAUUCCUUUUUGCCCCGUUUCAAAGCAACAUAAGAAUAAGGAGCUUAAGAAUGAUGUACAGUCUUCUAUUUUCAUGUCUAUUUGAUACUUGGAAUGUGUAUUGUUCAUUUGUGGGUUGAUUCUCUCCCCACCCUUGCAAUCCCCACACACGGACAAAACAAAGGAGAUGUAUGGUGUUAUGAGAUGUUUAUGACAAGUGUCUUGUAAUUGCGUUAUGUAUAAUGAAGUACUGAGUCUGUAUGGGGCUGUUUAAAAUUGUUGUGUUCUAAGUAUCAUUUUGAUAUGAUUUUUAUUUUAAAAAAAAUUAUAUUAAUUCCCAUAUUGAUUUUAAAUAUUAUUUCAAAAUGUUAAAUAUUUCAAAAAAUUUACAUGGUAAUUCUAAAUAUUGGUAAAAUCAGACUAUUAAUAUUUUGUACAUUUUUAAUAUUUUCAUCCUUAAUUGAAAAUAUUUUCCAAAGCAACAUAAGAAUAAGGAGCUAGGGAAUGAUUCCCAACCUUCUAUUUUCAUGCCUAUUUGAUGCUUGGAAUGUGUAUUCUUCAUUUGUGGUUAAUUGCUUUUACGUUUAUAGGAAGAAGGGCCCAAACUCCCUUUGUUGCUCCUCUAUUCAUCCUUGUAAUCCCCACGCAUGGACAAAACAAAGGAGAUGGAUGGCUUUAUAUGUAUGACAAGUGUCUUGUAAUUGUGUAUGUGGAAUAAAGUUUGAGUCGUUAUUUCAAACUAUUAUGUUGUAAGAAUUAGUUGGAAAUGAUUUUUAGUUUUAAAAAUAAAAAAUAAUGUUUCAAUUUGAAAUGUCUUUAAUGAAAGUGUUUUUAAAAGAAUUACCUAUAAAUGUUUCUCCAAAAAACAACAAGUAAUUUUUUAAUACUAUAAAUAAUUUCUUUUAAAUUUUAAAAGUAUUGUUUAAAUUUUAUCAAAUACCUAAUAUUUUUUAAAGAACAUUUUUAGGUUGACAACGUUUUUCAAAAAGCAUUGUCAAAUAGACUCUUAACUCUUAUAUUGAUUUUAAAAACUAUUUCAAAAUUUUAAAAAUUCAAAUGUAAAUUUAAAAAACAUAAUGUAAGUAUGAGUUACUAUAUUUUAUAUAAAAGUGACUAUUAAUUUCUAUUUCUAAAAAUAAAAAUAAGAAAUGAAUUCAAAUUAUUAGUACUUAAUAAUUAACUAAUUAAUUAGUGUUUGAAUACAAAAAUAUAUAUAAUAAAUUAAUAAGUUUCUUAUAUGUUUGCAAAAGUAUCUAUAUAGAGUGUUAUUUAUUGAAAAUGUAUGAUAAAUUAAUAAGAUUCUCACUUAAGUUGCAUUUUAUUUGAAUUUUAGAAAUAAUAGUUAUAAAAUUAGAAGGAAAUCAGGUUGAUAUUGUCAAAUGAUGAUGAAACAUAAUUUAGAAAUUAAAACAGGAAGAAAAAAUUAAAUAAUUGUAUAUUCUAUAUUAUAGUGGAGGCAUCAAAUAUUUGUCUAUUACCAUUAUUAUUAUUAUUAUUAUCAUUUCCACCUAAUGUAUUCAUGGAAUACACAAGAGUUGAGUCACAUAAUCACCAAAUAAAUAAUAGGACAAAGUCCAACUCUCUCAUCUUACGAUGAUAUAUAUACCUUUUUUUAUAUUAAAUGAUAAAGCUAUAUGUAAUUCUAAAAAGAAUCUUUGCAACAACAUCUUGUAUUUUUGCAUGUGGUCAAAUAAUCAUCCUCAUUAUUAUUAUUAUUUUAAUACCACAACAACUACUCUACCUAAUCAUAAAUAAUAGCAAAUGGUUGCAAGCUGUUUUCCCAAUAAAUUAAGUUUUGAAAAGAAUCAUUUCAACUACGUACUCUAACUAAUCAUCAACAAUAAGAAAUGGUUACAAGUUGUUCUCCCAAUAAAUUAAGUCUUGAAUUCUCCCAGCAAAUGAAGUUUUGAAAAGAAUCCUUUAGUUGUAUGGUACUUUACUAUCUUUAUAUGUAAGGAUAUUUGUUCUCAUAUGUAUAUAAGGAUUUUUUUUUUUAUUUAAAAGAAUCACUCAAUAUGUGUAUUAUUAAUUAGUUUAUUACUUUUUAGAAUUUUUUCUAACAUUUUUGUAAUUUUUUAAUCAAUUUUUAUCCCAUAUUUUUUUUCUUCAAAUUUUUGUAUAAUAUUUAUAAUAAUUUUAUAAAAUUUGAAUAUUGAUAUUUUGUAAAUUUUUUACAUGUUCAUCCAAAAUCUUUUUAAAUUAUAUGCCUUUAAAAUAUAUUAAAAGUGUAAAGCACGUAACCAAAGGUAAGAAAUAUUUGAAAAUUAAGGUCGAUUAUGGUACCUAUAAUAUUUUAGUCACAAAUGCUUCUAUAAAAAACUUUUGUAGAUCAUAUUAAAAUAAAAUAUUAAGGAAGUGUUAGGAAGAUGCGAAGAUGUAAAAUAAAUUAAUAAGAUUAAGUAGCAUUUUAAUUGAAUAACUAAGACAGCGAGGAUAAAAAUAAGAAGAAAAAACAAACUUGUAUACGUCUUAGUAACACUAGAGAAACACGAUUUAGAAAAUAGAAUAAAAAAAUUGGAUAAUUUAUUAUCAACUUUGAUCAUUCCUAGGCUAUUUAUCAUAAUUUAUUCAUUAAAUAUUAUACAACAGCGGAGUCAUAGAAACCAUAUUGGCUAAAUAAUUAAAUUAAGUGAACUCUCUCUUAUCUUCUAUCAUGGUCUACUUAGAUAAAGCCUAGAAUAGUAAACAAGGAAUUUGAUGGCAUCUUUUCUUCUUUCAUAUGGCCAACUUCUCUAACUAUUAUUUUAAUCCCACAACUUCUCUAACUAAUCAUAAAUAACAAUUAUCAUUUCUAUCAAUGUUUGUUAUUUCCACUUAAUUUAUUCAUUGAUUCAUUGAAUAUACAAGGGUUGAGUCACAAUCCAUAGGGGUGAAAUAAUUGAAUGAAGUCACUCCCCCUUAUGCUUUUUCAUGAUAUACUUAUUUAUUAGAUGAUACAACUGUAAUAAUAGAAAAAAAAAAUUUGCAAUAGCAUCUUGUCUUCUUUCAUAUGGCCAAAUAGUCCUCGUUAAUAUUAUAAUACCACAUCAACGAGCUUAGAACAACAAAGAUACCCAAUAUAUUCUCAUUAAUAAUCAGUUGUAUUGUCAAGUAAUUUUUAAUUUAACUAUCAAGGUGUAAUUGAAAUAAUUUACCAAUUUUUUUCCAGGUUUUAGAUGAUUAUGGAUCAUAAUUCUUAUACUUUAAUUUUAAAUUUUCAUAAUUGGACUAGUUUUUCCACCAAAAAACCUUGAGUGGACAAUAAAUUAUAAUUAAAUGCAAAAUAUUUUUAUAAACAAAUAAUUAAAAAUCAUGAUUAAAAAUAGAAUAAAUAAUGCCUUCUUUUCAUAUGUUACUUGAAUUAACUAAUUUCUUAACAAUUUUAUAGUUAUAGAAAAUAAAUAAAUAAAGACGUAAAUCUAAGGAGACCGGAUGUAGGAAAUCUUAAUCAUAAGAACAUUCUUCUCUAUUAUGGUAAUUAUAUUACGAAAUAUGAAUUUCAUUACCGAGUCUACCCAUAUCAAUGGUAAUUCUUGAUAUUUAUAGUAUUUUAUGAUAACACAAUUAAUGUUUAAAUAUCAAUUAAAAAAAUUAAAAUUGGUUAAAAUGUUUGGGCUUAAUAUUAGGCCUCCAUUAUGAAUUGGUUUUCCUAAUUUGCCUAAACCUCGUUGUUUAGGACAAGAUAAAAAAAAAACUCAAAAUAAAAAAUUUGGAUCAAGACAAACAUUCAAACAUCCUUGUUGGCAUUUAAAUGUUGGGACUUUUAAAUUUGUUUCCUACUUUCUUUUUAACUCAAAAAUCUCAUUUUAAAAAUAUUUUAAAAUUAAGAAACUCUUUACAAUUGUUUGUUAGGGUUUUUCUAAUAUAAAAGAGUUUUUUGUUUGAUUGAAAUUUUGAGAACUUCCAAAAACUCUAGAGAAUAUAAUCAUUCUUAAAGGUUGUAACUCCAAUUUUUGAACCUUUUAAGAUAUUUCUUGAAAGAACCUUUUGUCUAUAAUAAGGGUUCAAGACUCAUACAACAAAAUUUCAAUAAGGGAUUCAAGAGAUCUACUAAAGAGCACAGGGAGUAACGCGUGAGGAAUGUGGAAAAGGAAUGUAAGUACUAUUGGUAUAAGACUUCCUAGAAUAGGUACAUUCAAUCAAGUAAAAAUAUAUAUUAUUUUCUCAUAUUUAGUAGAUUAUUUAACAGCUGAGAGACCACCAACAAUUUUUUACAUUUAGGUCACUAGUUUGGUUUUUUCAUAUUAUAUCCCAUGUUUAUUAUGUGAUUGGAAAUCUAUAGGAUUUAUCAAAUUUUACUUAAUAUCAAAAUUAUUUAACAGUUAAGAAACCAUCCACGAUUUUUUACAUUUACCCUACUAAUUGGUUUUUCCAUAUUAUAUCUUGUGUUUAUUAUGUGAUUGGAAAUCUAUGGGAUUCAUCAAAUUUUACUCAAUAUUGAUAUUAUUGAUAAAGAACACCAAAUUUAGGGUCGAUUACUUCAACUACCUAUUAAUCCCUUCGAGGCAAUUUUAUAUAUUAAGACAUAACAAUUCUUUCAUUAUUAUUCAUAUGAAAGGGUGAAUCAUGCAAAAUAUAUUUCUCUCAAAAGUUAAAUAGUAGCUAUGACUUAAAAUAGAAUAAUUCCCUCAUUUUAUAUAAUACAUAAAUUAAUUAAUUUAUAGUUACUUUCAUAUUUGAACAAAAGUUCUAAAGUAUUAACAUUAAAUAUUUAAAUGAGAAAUGAUAGGAAAUUAUGGUUUUCUCUUGAAAUUCUCUGUUAUGUCCCAAUCUAAGUUUCAUCAUGGCCAACUUUAAGAAGAAGAAGCUACAAUUCAUUUUGGGUUAGUUACCAUGAAGGUAAUAAAUAUUACACCCAAUUAUUAAGAAAAAAAUAUACUAAUUUCAUAACCAUGGACCUUUAAUAUAUAUGACACCUUUAAAAAGUGUAAUUUUUCUUGAUAAAACUCUAAAAAUGAUAGUAUAUUUAUUUUUUAGGCCAUCUAAUUAUUUGGAAGAAUGGCCAAUACUUAAACUAAAAAUUUCUAGCUUUGUUCCAACUAUAAUUGAUGAAAUUUAUGGAGAAAAAAAAAGCAAAACUAAGAAGACAAUAGUGUUGGAAUAAAAUUAAAAAAAAAAAAAAAAACUUAGGAACAAUUACAAAAAUCAUCCAUACUUUCAUUUAUAUAUCAGUUUAGUCUUUUUAACUUUUUUAAUGUAUAAUAUCAAUCAUAAAUUAUAUCCAAAUGUCAAAUAAGGCCUUUUGCUAAUAAGCAAAUAAAUAUUGGUAUUAGUUUUUAUAUCAUAUAUUUGGAUAUUUUCAAUUUAUCUACAUACUUUUCAUGAGACUUUUUUUCUUUUACAAAAAAUAUUAAUCAAAAUGUCAAGGUAUAAUUUAAGAUUAAUGUUACUUAAAAAAUAAAAUUUAGACACUAAAUUGAGAUAGUGGUAAAAAUUUUAAAAAUGAUUUUUUGUAAUUUUCUCUAACGUCUCUCUGUGCCUUUUUUGCUUUUUUUCCCAUUCAAUGCCCUCCACUCUUCUCCACCGCUACGGCUCCUUCUCAGGCCUGCUUUGAUCAAAUCAAAAGUCCUCAAACUGAUCCAAGCUGUAUUUAGGCAUUGUCUUGUAGCUCUAAAAAUUGAAAAGCCUAGUCGAAUUCCUUUUUAAAAUCUUUAUUAAAAAUCCCAAAAUUAAUUAUUAAGUUCUAUAUUAAAUUAAUCAUUUGGAAUUGUAUUGCCAUAGUAGUUAUUGUAAUAUCAUGAAAGGGUAAAGAAAAAGACAAAGAAAGCAAUGGAGUUCAAAACAACAAUGGAUGGAGCAAGAUUGAGGCAAAUUAGCUUUAGCCUAGGGUCCCAUGUGCCCCAUCUCCCUCAAACAAAUCCAACUUUACUAAUUCCACCCUCAACAAAUUGUUACAAAUAAAAACGCUUUAAUAGAACUCCCAAAACGAGUUCCAAGUCACUAAAAUGUUUUUCUUCGAUAUUUCAUAUAUAUCACCAAAAAAAAAUGAAUUACAACACUAUGGAAUAAUCUUCAAAAUAAUUUUAGUUGACUCAUUUCAUUUGGAUCUUGCAAUCUUAUACUCUAACAAUGCUCAUUCAUCAAUUUCAUUAGUAAAAAUAUUAUUAAAAUUAAUAAUUAUUAAAAAAAUUAAAUUAAUGACCUUUUUCAAAAGUCAUAUCUAUUUAGUACAAUAAAAUAAAACUUUCCUAUAUUAUGGUAGAAGAUGGUGGAGUACCAUCCAAAGAGAAAAGAAUUAAUUAUAAAAAUAAAAUAAAAUAAAAUAAAAUUAUAAAAACACUCCAAAUAAAAUUAGGUAAAACUUUAUAUAGAAGAGAAAAAUUAAGAUAGAUAGAUUUGAAGUAGCAAAUAAAAAAACAAUUAUUCAUUUUAAAUAUAGUUUUCAUUUUAUUUUAUUUUUCCAUUUUUUAUCGUAUAUUUUCUUCAAAAUUUAGGGAAAUCAAGAAGGGCUAUGAAAACGGAUGAGUGAUGUAAAAAGGGGAGAUGGAUCUAAUCGGGUAAUAAAUGAAGUGUUUGGAUAUUAGAAGAUAUAGAGUUUAGGCUUUUAUUAGUAAUAUUUCUAUGAAAAAGCAAAAAAAUUAUUAACCUUUUUUAAAACUUUUUUUUCAAAAUUUUGAAAUUUUUGAGAAAGUAAAAUUUUUUUAAUCUUUAAAUUUUAAGAAAUUUAAAAAGUGUUUUCAAGUAUAAAAAAUAUAUACUUACUUUUGUAUAAGAAUUUCUAUAUUUUAUUUUAUUUUAAAAACAAAGUUGAAAAAUGUAUCCAAACAUAUACUAACUAAUUAUCUUGAAAAAUGUUUUUAAUGGAAGGGUACUAACAAAAAAGCUGCAAAUAAAAACACUUUAAAUAAAAUCACUCUCAAACAAAUUCUAAGUUAUAAUAAAUAUUUUUCAUCAAUAUUUCAGAUCACCAAAAGAAAUAAAGGACUACAACAUUAAGGAAGAAGCUUCAAAAUUAUUUUAAUUUAAACUUAUUUCAUUUGUAAUCUUGCAAUCUCACGCCCUAAAUAUUCCCAUUCAUCAAUUUCAUUGGUAAAAUUUCAUUAGAAUUAAUAAUUAUUAAAAAUAAAUAAAUAAAAAAUCCCUUUAAAAAAUCAUAUCCAUUUAAUCACAACAAAAUAAAACUUUCUUGUUAUCAUGGUAAAGUAAGUCCAAGAGAGAAAAGAAUUGGUUUUAAUAAAUAAAAAGAAAAACAAAACUUUGAAAAUUUUCAAAUAUUCCAAAAUUUCUAAAAAAGUUCCACAAUCAAAGUUUUGUGAUCCCAAAAGAAGGAAAGACUUUACAAGUUAUCGACAAUUUCAAAUUUUCAAUUGGAGUUGUAAUAAAAUUUAAAUUAGAUUACAAAUCACAAUUUCAAUUAAUCUCAUUUCUUGUUAAUUCAAAUAGCAAGAAGAAAGUUGAAUAAAUUAAGGACCACUAGUCUCUCUUUAUCAGAAAUGUCUUCAAGCUUUUAAUGCCUUCACAUAUCCUUUUCAAUUUGAAUGCUACUACCUACCUAAUAAUAGUGGUCAAAAUUUUAAAGCAUUCACGUAUCAUUUUCAACUUGAGUACUAUUGUCCCCCUAAUAAUUGAAAUGUCAUUUUCUAAAAGUUUUCUCACUUCUUUUACAACCAUUAGUCGUCUAAACAUUUCAACCUUAUAAUAGGGCAUAUUCUACUUGAUAAUACUUAUUUUUUGUCUAAACAUUUCAACCUUAGGAUAAGGUAUAUUCUACUUGAUAAUACUUGUGUUACUAAUGAGAAGGUAUUCAAUACAUCUAUUCUAUCAUAUUAGUAUGAUAAUAUAGUAUAAAUGUCUAUUCAUAUUUAUCAAAUAAGGAAGGAAAAAGAAGUUAUUUAGAUUUGAAAAUAAUUAAUAAAAGUUUUAAAUUAUUAGAAAAAUGAAUUAUAAAUUUUUUUUUAAUAAAAUAACUUAAAUAUCAUUUAAUAUCGAAAAUAUAAAUAAAUUAUUAUGCUACAUUAGUAAGCAUUAUUAUAAUCGAGUGCAUUGGCAAGUAAUUUUCAAUUUGACCAUCAAGGUGUAAUUGCAAAAAAAAAAUUAUAAAAAAAAAAAUGAAAAGAGUGAAAAGAGAAAGUUAGGAAGAAAAGGGAAGGGAAAAAAGAAGGAAAAUGAGGAUUUUUGUUAUAGAAGACUUGAGAGGAAUCUAAGAGAGAUGCAACAUUUUUUUUUGUUUGUUUAUUUAUUUAUAUUUUUUCUUAUUUAUUCGUUUUUGUUUUUUUGUAUUAUAAUUAAACUGGAGAAUGUGUUUAGUUUAUAUAAACGAGAUUAGACUUUUCUAAUUUAGAAAAUUAUUUCUAGUACCAUAAAUUUUUUUAGAUCCAAAUAUUGUUACUUUAUUUUUUGAUAUAUUUAUUAUAUAUAUAUAUAUAUAUUAAGAAGUUUUUUUAUAAUUAAUUUUCUGUUAUCAUAUAAAUUGAGUCAUUGCUAUAUAUUAAUAUGAAUAAAAAUUGUAAAAUCAUUUUUCUUGACUAAUCUUGUAAAAUUAUGUAAAUUGAUAUUAUUUCUCAUAAUAAUUGUCAAUAAAAUCAAAGAACCAUUUUUUAUGUUUUUAUUUUAACAUUAAUAAAGUCAAUAAUCAUUUUUAAAUAAAUUUUGUGAGGUUGUAUGAAUUGAGGUUUCUUUUGUAUAUUUACAUUAAUAAAAAAAAAUCGUUUCUUUUGAAUUAUUAUUGUGAGACCACAUACAUUGUAUGUGGCAUCAAUGAAAUAAGGAAAAUCAUUUACUUAACAAGGUUCAUUUUUUACUAUUAAUUUUUCCCUUUAUCCAUGUAUCAACUUUCCAUAUGUUUAUACUUCUUCAUUUUGUGUCUGAUUUAUUAUUUAAUUAAUUCUUUUAAUUUCAAUCAUUCUACUAAAAAUAAUAUAAAAAGCCACUGACGGAGUUAGAAAAUUGAGCAGUCAAGAUGUUGGUAUUUAUUGGAGUGUAGGUAAAUAAGAAACAAAUUACCUUUGUGGGCUACUAGUAGUAAUUGAAUUCAUGUUUUGUCUAAAGAAAGGAAUCAAAUUUCUCUUUCUGCAAAAAUUUUAGGGGAGCACUUGCCCUAGUCAUGGGAAACCUUUAACUGGGGCACCUUAGCUAAGGUCCCAUUUGGUGCCCCAUCUCUCUUCAUCAGACACAACCUUUAAUAAUUGUAAUGGGUACUAACUAGAUGAUUCCACCAAAUAAUUUUUCAUACAUAUUAUCAGCUCACUUUUUUGUUUAAAUAAAAUAAUAAGUGAUUCUAUUUAAAAACAUUUCUAAUAUAACCAUUAUUAACAAAAUAAACCAAAAGCGUUUGAAUCAAAAUUAGUCUUAAAUAGACUCCUAUGAAGAAGUUGAAGAAGUUGUCUUCAAGUACUAAUAACUCCUAUGAACAUACUUGUAAUUUGAAAACCUUAAGAGUCAUGAAUGAGUUAAAUUGAGAAGAUUAAGAGUGUAUUUGGGUGCAACAAAUCUCGACUUUCUUAGCAUUAAAGUCCUACUGGGUAAACUUAAGGCCAUGCUACCACAGAGAGGCAAGGGAUUUGACCCCAAAAUGUACAAUUUUUCUUUGUUAUAUCAAUACAAACAACCAUCUGUCCAUUAAUUUUAAUUUAAGUGAAAUCGUUUUACUCCAGAAAUCAGAAGUUGCAAUGGAAGGCGUUCAUAAUUUUGGGUUGGACAAAACGUGCUUACUGGGGGUAGUGGACAAUAAAGAAGCGAAUAGAGGUGGUAGGGGCCUAUCAUCCAGCUGGACUCUCAAAUGCAAAAAUGGAGAUUCGUUUGUCCCAACUCUUCUCCACUACUACGGCUCCACAGCACUCCUUCUUAGGACUAAUAUAAACUCAAAAGUUUGCAUUAGGUUCUAAUUUUAAAAUUUUGAGGAAGUGAAAAUUUUUCUACUUUCUUAAAAUUUAGAAAUUUUAAAAAUGUGUUGUUAAAUAUAGAAUAUACCUAUUAUAAUUCUUAUAUUUCAUAUAAGAUUUUCUAUUUUUUAAAACAAAACUGAAAAAUGUAUUAAAAUACAGACUAAGUGUUUCUCUUUAAAAAUAUUUUUAAUGAAAACACAAUUAAAAAAAAUGUUGCAAAUAAAAAUGCAUUAAUAUAAUUCCGUUCUAAUUCAUUCAAAUAUUUUUCUUGGAUAUUUCAUAUAUCUCACCAAAAGAAUAUGGAUUACAAUAUUAUCGAAGAAUCUUAAAAAUAAUUUUAGUUGAUUGAUUUCAUUUAGGUCUUGUAAUCCUAUACUCUAACUUUACUCAUUCAUCAAUUUCAUUGAUAAAAUAUUAUUAAAAUUAAUAAUUAUUUAAAAAAAAUUAAAUUAAUAACCUUUUUCAAAAACCAUAUCUAUUUAGUACAAUAAAAUAAAACUUUCCUAUAUUAUGGUAGAAGAUGGUAGUGUAUCGUCUAAAGAUAAAAGAAUUGAUCAUAAAAAUAAAAUAAAAUAAUAUAAAAACACUCCAAAUAAAAUUAGGAAAAACUUUAUAUAGGAGAGGAAAAUUAAGUUAAAUAAAUUUGAAGUAAUAAAUAAAAGAAAAAUUAUUCAUUUUAAAUAUAAUUAUUUUUUUUCUUUUACCCUUUCUUUCUAAUUUUUUUCCCUUAUAUUUUCCUCAAAAUUUAUAGAAGCCAAGAGGGCCUAUGCAAGUGGAGAAAUGAUGUAAAAAGGGAAGAUGGAUCUAAUCAGACAAUAAAGGAAGUAUUUGGAUAUUAGAAGUUCUAAAGUUUAGGCUUUAUUAGUAAUAUUUUUAUGAAAAAACAAAAAAUUUAUCUUGCUUUUUCUAAAACUUUUUUUUCAAAAUUUUGAAAAUUUUGAGAAAGUAAAAUUUUUUUAAUCCUUCAAUUUUAAGUAUUUUAAAAAGUGUUUUCAAGUAUAUAUAUAUAUAUAUAUAUAUAUAUAUAGACACCUAGGACAAGGUCAUAUGCAAUGAAAACAGGAAUUAUGUCAUGAUUCAAAACAAAGAAGAGGGUUAGAAAAUACAAAAGAUAUCCAACAAAGAAAUUUAAAGAGAAGAAACCAAAAACUUGUUAGUUCAUAAUAAGCUUAAAACCGACCAUGUAGGCGGUAUAAAAUGAAAAACAUAAACUUAAAAACAAAGCUUAAUUAAAACCGACUAUGUAGGCGGUACAAGAACAUAAAAUAAAAUGAAAAACAAAACUUAAUUAAAACCAUCCAUGUAGGAGGCAUAAGAACAUAAAAUAAAAACAAAACCAUCCAUAUAGGAGGUAAUCAAAACAUACUUAUAUUAUACAUAAGGAGAAAUAUCUUACAAUGGACAAGGGUAGGAAAGCUUGAAGAAAGCUUGAAAGCUUGAAGGGCAUACAUGAUGAGAGAGAAAGAAGAGAGAAGGGAGAGCAUAAGCUUAGGAGAGAAAAUUUUAGUGUUUUUUACAAAUGAGGACCGAGCCUCUUUAAAUAGGCAAAAAAGGAAUCUUGAAUAGUAACCAUGAAUAGUAGACCCGUGCUUGAAUAAUGAAUAGUGAACAGUGAAUAGUAAGAUUCACUUUUAUACCGAAAUCCCCCAAAAACUCUCUUUCGGCUGAGAAGACUUCUGGCAGGCUGCUUUAUACUGUGUAGACACAUGUUUGCUGCUUUUGGUGCAGAAAAUGCUGGAAAAGCUUGUUGAAGAGGAUAAACUUGCAGGCUGAGAAUCAUGAAGCUUUGUAAUUUCUUAUUGGUGGAAGAAUACCUUCACAGUCGUCGCCAUUGUCGGGAAGGUAGCUUGUGGAAUCAUCAGAGUCUGCAUAUGAGUUGUCUUGAGAAAAGCUUGAGCUUCCUUCUUCCAAGAUUUUCUGGAAUUCUUGAGGAGUUUUUGCUGCUGCUAACAUGGCUUGGAGCUGUUGCUUUUUAAGCAAAAACUGAGAUGUUUCAUCAUUAGCUGAGGCUUGUGUGGGAUGCUUGAGGAAGUACUGCUUAACAACAUUGAGUGAUGCAUCAUUUUUUAAGGCAUCCCACCAUUUUGUUUUAAAAGUCCUUCCAAGGGUUGGAAAGGCUGUUGAAUCAUCUGCUAUGAUUAAAUAAUCCCACUGGACAAUCCAAGCGAGGCCAAAAUUGCUGAAGAAGAAUAAUAAAUGUGGAAAAGCUGAAAGUUCUCUUGGAAUAACAAAAGAACUAUUGAAUAGCUCAAAGCCAUCCAAUACAGGCUUAGGGAGGAUUUUAGUAGAUGGUCCAAAAUAGGUCCACCAAUUGUGAAACCAAAAAAGGAAAGAAGAAAGCUGGUUCUUGGAAGGAAAAUAGAACAUCCAUGAAUGAUGGAAGUCCCUAUUCUGGAUCAGAAAAGCAUUAAACCAUGCUUUCUGAUAAUCCCAAUAAUUAAAAAAUCUUGGCUUAGAUGGUUCAGAAAACUCCCUUGAAAGAUUGGGAUUCCCCCCCCCCCCCCCCNNNNNNNNNNNNNNNNNNNNNNNNNNNNNNNNNNNNNNNNNNNNNNNNNNNNNNNNNNNNNNNNNNNNNNNNNNNNNNNNNNNNNNNNNNNNNNNNNNNNNNNCCCCCCCCCCCCCCCCCAUUGCUUGACAGUUAGGAUCUUAUAGAUAUGACAAGUGGAAAAUGCCAAAUCUAAAUUGCUGAAUUUAUCUGCAUUAUGCUUGAUCUUAACAGAACCAGUUUCAAUAAGAACUGCUUCAUAAAAUUCUCUUGUUUUUAAAAGAUCGGCAGAGGGAUAGUGGAAAUUUUUAUAAAAAGCUUUUGCCACAAUCUCUCUGGGGUUUUCAGAAAAAAAAACUCUCUUUCAAUAACAAAAAGAGGUUGAUUUAAAUCUUUUUGCCAAUAUCUUGAUUUUGUUGAAAGAGAUGUGGGGUUGGCAGCCACCACAAUUUGUUUGCUUGAAAAAGAGGAGCUUGCUGCUAAUUCCUUUUGAGAGGGAUUAGCCAUAGUGACCUGCUUAAAGGUCUGAGACCCUGAGAUAGCUGGAUAUUGGGUUGCCUUAACUGGUUUAGAAGGAUCCGAAGGAUCAUAGUAUAAGGUCAACAUCUUGUUAGGCAUAUAGUUAGAUUCAUGCAUAGAUUUAGAAGAAUGAAGCUUUGCCAAAAACCGUGCUUCUUCUUCUUCUUGUUCAACUUGUUGGCUCCAAAGCAUUUUAUGAGGAGAAGGGGAUUGGUUAGUUUGACUGGACUGGGAUUUUUGUGAGCUAGGAGCUGGGGCAUUCUUUUUAGGGGCCAUGAUCUCAUGAACCCUGCAAAAUUCUCGAGAUAGCUGAUUAGGGAUGAAAUAUUCUCCUUUAAUAAAAUUACCUUGAAAAUUAGCUUUUAAAAUAAUUUACCAGUUAAUUAAAUCAUACCUAAAAGCUAUGUAUUUAAUUGUUCCAACAUUUUUGAAAACAAUUUUUAAUAAAAAUUCUUGAUUCAAAAUACCAAUUUGAAAAUUUGAAAUGAGUAAAGAAAUGCUUAAAAUAUCAUUAUGCAUGAACUGGUUGCAUAUUAUCUUAUGAGGAACAUCUAAUCCAACAAGAUUAAUUUCUUGGUUACAAGGCGUGAUGCUUACAGUUGGAUUAGCAAAUUCAAAAAGAAUUUCCUUAUCAAAAAGCUUGGUUCUUAUACCUUGGUUAUCUACCCACAAGGGAUAAAUAGAGCUAAGAAGGGUAUUCCUAGAAGGGCUUUUUCCUUAAGAUCCUUAACAAGGAUAAAGGUUUGCUUAAUACAGAUGUCAUGGUUACGGAUAUGAACAUCUGUUAAUUUAUACUUAAUAGCAAGUCUUUUGCCAUUGGCUCCAAAUAGAGACUGACUAGUCUCUUUGCAUAAAGAAAUAGGUACAAGACCUUCUUGAAGGCAAUUUUCAGCUGCUCCUAAAUCAAUCAAAGCAAUAAUAUCAAAGACAAAUUUAUCUUUGACUACUAUAGUAAGGGAGACUUCCCACCUCUGUAAGAUAACCCUACUCACAGUAUUCAAAAAAGUAUCCGUCUCAUUAUCAUUAACAUGAGAAGAUUCUGGAAUAUCCAUAUGGAUUUCUUGGUUGCCAAUUCUAUUGAUUUGAUCUUGGAGAUCAGAGAGACCUAGACUUAUGAAUUGUCUUAACUCCUUAAUCUCCUUUUUAUGCUGCUUAACUUCUUCAUGAAGUUCCUUAAUGCUGACUUCCUUGGGAGACUGUUGGUCAAACCUGUUUAAGAUAUCAUUAAGGUUAUAAGGAUUAACAGUCUUCUUGGCUUCUACCUUAACAACAGAUUUCUUAAAAACUUCAUAAAGAUUUUGCUUAGUCUUUUCAUCUUAACCUUUUCUUAAAGUAUCUAGGAUAAAUUCCUGAUCUUGGCUUAUGACAUUUAUAGUUUUAGGAUGGCAAUUACAAUUACCUUUAAUACAUUCUGCUUGGUCACUAGAAGAUUGGCUGGAAACUUCACCACUACUGUCUAGUUGAUUAAUGUCAUCUUCAUUAUCUGAAUCAGUCCUUGAUUCAGAAUCUGAGGAGUUUAACAUUACCUUACAAAGCAUAUUUUUUAGGUCAUCUGAAACACUUAAGUUAUUAAUCUUUUGCUUAACUCUACAAUCUUUCUUAUAAUGACCAACUUUGCCACAUUUAAAACAGAUAAUUGGCUUGACAUCUAAAGGAGUUUCUACCUUUUUCUGGGUAUCUUUGUUGACCCUUCUUUGGACGUGCCUUGACUGAUUAGUAUCAUUCAUCCUAUAGUUGUCAUAGGUACCUCUCUUACUGUGGUAAAACUUAUCUUUGCUAGGCUUCCUGCUUGGUUUUUGCUUAGAGGGAGGCAUAGUUUCCUUUUGGCUGAAACCAAACUGGCUACAGAAUGAUCCAAAUUCAUUCUUGUAGAUUUUUUGUUCAUUCUUCAUCUGUUGCUUAAGCUUGAAGUCAUUGCACAACUUAAUCCCUUCAGCUGUGACAAUGCUUAUAAUCUCACCAUAGGUUAGCUUGUCAUAAGGGAUUUGACCAUUAUAUUGUUCCCUUAUCUUGAUCCUAAUUCUCUCAGAGAAAAGCUUGGGCAAUCCUGAGAUGAAUUUUUCUUUCCAAAAAGACUGGUUACAAUCUGAUCUUAACAUGACUUUGGUUAGGAAGACUUCCUUAUACCACCUAAAAUCAUGAAGCUUGGGACACUUAAGGUUGGUUAAGAGAUCUGCAGUUUUAUCCUUAAUUUUUGCAGGAUCUCCAAUGAAGUGCUUGGAUAUUGAGUAGAUUAGAGUAGCCACUGCAUCCUCUAUAUCUUGGCCAUCUUUGUCCUUAACAACUUCAUUAUUCUCAUUAAUCCUAUAGGCUUUAAGGAUACUAUUCCUAUCAUCAAAAGUGAGAUAAUUAUCCCACCAACCCUUAAGCUGACCUGUAAACCCAGCAACAAUGGUCUGAGCUACAACAUGAUCUGGCAGUCUAUUGUUUAAUUUAUAGGCUGUACUAACCAUGGUCAUUUCUUGAAGCUUAGUGAGUAUGUUAUACUCGGUCAUACCGUCUAUGUUCCAUUCAUAGAUAGUACCACUGGUGUAUGAGGCUUGAGUAUACUGAUUUCUUUCCUCAAACUGCAUGUCAGGAAAAAUAGGUCUAGGAUAGUAAUUCCUAGUCUUAAAGGUUUCGAAAUUGUUAAUAAUUUGAUCAUGGGGUUCCUCAAACAUCUUAAUUAGUUCAUCAGCUUCUUCUUCUGAACUAAUAUCACCUUUAACCAUAUUGAUUCUCUUAUCAGGCUGAACAGUCAAAGGGGCAACAAGAUUAUCCUUAAUCUUCUGAUUAAUCCUAUCAAUAAAAGCUUGGUUGAAUUGGGGAUUUUCUUAGAAAUCCUUAGAGAAUUCAUAUGGCUUAUUUUCAUUAUUACUACUGGUAACCUUUAUACGCUUAAAGGGAUAAUCUGGAUAUUCCUCUUGUUUGAAGAGUUCAAACCAAAUCCAAAACUUAAUAUUUUUCUUUUCUUGUCUUAGGUAGGCAUAGAAUUCUUCUUGGUAAAUGGUUCUAAUGACUUUAGGGAUAGUGCUAAAGAACCAAUCAUUUCUUUGCUUAUUGACUUCAGAAUAGAAGUCCUUUCUUAAGAGAUCCUUGUUGAUCUCAAAGUCCUCAUCACUUAGGCUUAUUGUGUUAAUCAUCUGGGAAUAGGUAGGAGACAUAACAGGGGACUCAUCUUGUUGGGAUUCCUGAGUAGACUCAUUUUCUUCACUGUAAAAUGGUCUAGCCACGUUGGUGUGAUUUCUAAUACCUGUUAGCUUAAUGUUCUUAGGAUUUCCUGAGCUGUAACCUUCUUCUUCCCUAGUAGUUCUAACUGGGAUGGAAGAGCUUGAAGCUCUAGAGGGUUCAUAAACAGAAACUCUAGGGCUGCUGGAGUGUCUGAAAGAUUUGGAGAAGACCAGUUCUCCUCCUCCAUCUGGAUAUUGAACUAUUUGUUCAAUACUUUCAGAACGCUGUGCUAUGGCUGGAACAGCAUUAGAAAAAUGCCAAUUUUCAGGGAAAUCAACAUCUUUCCACAAGAUCUUCUUGGGGAUGAUGAAAUCUGACUUAUCUAGCAUAUCUGAGUGAAAAUAGGUGGUCUCACCUUUAGGACUGGUACAAAGAGCCCCAGAUCCAACGCUUGUGUUCAUGCUCUUAUAGGCAAACCUGGUUAUGAUAGAAACAGGAUUGUUUCCUGGUUUGAUCUUAAAGCCAUGGGUCUUAAUAUGCAGGACAACGGAAUCUAAGAUGUCUGCAUCUCUUAUUCUAACUGUGAAGUUAGGAUAGCACUGGAAAUAGACUGGGCCAUCAUUCAGUCCAGCUUGGACUACGCCUAUAAUAGAAUCUCGAUAUUCGAGAUGUCUAUUAUCCCUUAAACACAUGACAAUAGAGGUGUUUAAACCUAAUCUUGUCAAAGGCUUAGCUGCUACUUGAAUCAUACCAAAGUGUAUGAAAUUAUAGCCAUCUUUCUUAUGCUUAUCAAUGGAUCUGUUAUCUAGAAGUCUUAUGACUUGGUCGUCUUGUUCUAAGCUGACUGACAUUUCAGAGGUCUUAAUGGUAUAAUAUGUGAAGAACUUAAAGGUUCAUUUCUUAUAAAUUUCUUGAUUAGACACCUUGGGUAACAUCCAAUCAUCUAAAUCAUUUUGGAUCUUAGGAUAAUUGAUCUCUUCACUGUUUACAACAGUAUCUUGAGAAUCACUGGAUCUCCUAGACAUGGUUCGGAAAAUUGAACUCAUUUUAGGGUUUUUGAACUAGAGCCUAAUAGCAGAUUGACAGACCUUAUGAGACGUCACCCCAACCCUCUUACAGCCUAACAAACGCCUAUCCACGGCUAACAACGGCUCAACCGGCAGGGCUCGCGCUCCCAGGCACACUGCUACCUAUCCUAGGAUAGGCCAAGAACACCCAAAACAAGACCCAACUUCCCUCGCACAUGGCUCUGAUACCAUAGACACCCAGGACAAGGUCAUGUGCAAUGAACAAAUGAAUUAUGCCAUGAUUCAAAACAAAGAAGAGGGUUAGAAAUCAAACAAGAUAUCCAACAAGAAAUUUAAAGAAAAUGAACCAAAAACUUGUUAGUUCAUAAUAAGCUUAAAACCGACCAUGUAGGCGGUACAAAAUAAAAAACAUAAACUUAAAAAUUUUAAUUAAAACCGACCAUGUAGGCUGUAUAAGAACAUAAAAUAAAAUGAAAAACAAAACAUAAUUAAAAACCAUCCAUAUAGGAGGUAAUCAAAACAUACUUAUAUUAUACAUAAGGAGAAAUAUCUUACAAUGGACAGGGGUAGGAAAGCUUGAAGGGUUUACAUGAUGAGAGAGAAAGAAGAGAGUAGGUAGAGCUUCAGCUUAGGAGAGAAAAUUCAAGUGUUCUUACAAAUGAGGACCUUGCCUCCUUAAAUAGGCAAAAAAAGAAUCUUGAAUAGUAAUCAUGAACAGUAGACCCGUGCUUGAAUAGUGAAUAGUGAAUAGUGAAUAGUAAGAUUCACUUUUAUACCGAAAACCCCCAAAAACCCUUUUUCGGCUAAGAAGACUUCUGGCAGGUUGCUUUAUACUGUGUAGACGAAUGCUUGCUGCUUUUGGUACAGAAACUACAAAGCUUGUAAAAUAUUCUUGUUGACCGGUCAUCAUGAGAAAUCCUUACGAUGAUCUUCAAGAAGCUUAAUAUCUUCAGUACUAGCCAUGGUUGGAAGAGGGUGUAACUUCUUGCCACAGAAAAUUAGAUGACAAGAAUCUGCAGCAAUAAGAUGUCCCAUAUUUCUUGGAAAAGCCUCAAAAUCCCUGCAAAUAAUUCUGGCUCUCCAGUGUUUGAUUUGCUUAAUAAUGGAUUCAGCACAAAUAUCAGAAAAUAACAGAGGGUAAGACAGCCGAGUAGGUCUCCUAUUCAGAUAGUGAAGAGAAACAAUUUGUUGACCUGGAAUAAGCUUGCCACUAGAAACCCACUCAGGAGUUUUGCUGAUGAUGAUGGCUUCUGCGAAUUUCUUAUUUAUUUUAAAUCCUUGGGUUAGGCUAAGAGCAAUUUUUCUUCCAAACUGGGAAACUUGGUUGGGAUCAGAACAGAUGAUUUGAUGGACUAGACCAUGGUCCAGAAGCUUUUCUGGAGUUAAUAAUAAAUCUUCACCCUUGAAUUGAUGCUGAUUGGUGAAUAGUAUUGCAAGUCCAAGCAAACACGACUGAUUGUGAAAUUUCUGUUGCAGUUGCAAAUCAACUUCUUGAUGCCUUUUUGGUACUGGAAAGGUUCUUCAAUUAUUCUGCAAAUUUUUGAAUCAUCAACUUUCUUCUCAGUAACCAAGCUUAAACCUGGGACCUUAAGACCAAUAUUGGUGGAAAGAUAGAAAUUUAUAAGAAAGGAACCUUUAAGUUCUUCACAGAUUAUACCAUUAAGACCUCUGAAAUGUCAGUCAGCUUAGAACAAGACGACCAAGUCAUAAGACUUCUAGAUAACAAAUCCAUUGAUAAGCAUAAGAAAGAUGGCUAUAAUUUCAUACACUUUGGUAUGAUUCAAGUAGCAGCUAAGCCUUUGACAAGAUUAGGUUUAAACACCUCUAUUGUCAUGUGUUUAAGGGAUAAUAGGCAUCUCGAAUAUCGAGACUCUAUUAUAGGCGCAGUCCAAGCUGGACUGAAUGAUGGCCCAGUCUAUUUCCAGUGCUAUCCUAACUUCACAGUUAGAAUAAGAGAUGCAGACAUCUUAGAUUCCGUUGUCCUGCAUAUUAAGACUCAUGGCUUUAAGAUCAAACCAGGAAACAAUCCUGUUUCUAUCAUAACCAGGUUUGCCUAUAAGAGCAUGAACACAAGCGUUGGAUCUGGGGCUCUUUGCACCAGUCCUAAGGGUGAAACCACUUACUUUCACUCAAAUAUGCUAGAUAAGUCAGACUUCAUCAUCCCCAAGAAGAUUUUGUGGAAAGAUGUUGAUUUCCCUGAAAAUUGGCAUUUUGUUAAUGCUGUUGCAGCCAUAACAACGUUCUGAAAGUAUUGAACAAAUAGUUCAACAUCCAGAUGGAGGAGGAGAACUAGUCUUCUCCAAAUCUUUCAGACAUUCCAGUAGCCUUAGAGUUUCAGUUUAUGAACCCUUUAGAGCUUCAAGUUCUUCCAUUCCAGUUAGAACCACUAGGGAAGAAGAAGGAUCCAACUCAGGAAAUCCUAAGAACAUUAAGCUAACAGGUGUUAGAAGUCACACCAACGUGGCUAGACCAUUUUACAGAGAAGAAAAUGAGUCUACUCAGGAAUCCCAACAGGAUGAGUCCCCUGUUAUGUCUCCUACCUAUUCCCAGAUGAUUAACACAAUAAACCUAAGUGAUGAGGACUUUGAAAUCAACAAGGAUCUCUUAAGAAAAGACUUCUAUUCUGAAGUCAAUAAGCAAAGAAAUGAUUGGUUCUUUAGCACUAUCCCUAAAGUCAUUAGAACCAUUUACCAAGAAGAAUUCUAUGCCUACUUAAGACCAGAAAAGAAAAAUAUUAAGUUUUGGAUCUGGUUUGAACUCUUCAAACAAGAGGAAUAUCCAGAUUAUCCCUUUAAGAGUAUAAAGGUUACCAGUAGUAAUAAUGAAAAUAAGCAAUAUGAAUUCUCUAAGGAAUUCCAAGAAAAUCCCCAAGUCAACCAAGCUUUUGUCGAUAGGAUUAAUCAGAAGAUUAAGGAUAAUCUUGUUACUCCUUUGACUGUUCAGCCUGAUAAGAGAAUCAAUAUGGUUAAAGGUGAUAUUAGUUCAGAAGAAGAAGCUGAUGAACUAAUUAAGAUGUUUGAGGAACCCCAUAAUCAAAUUAUUAAUAACUUGGAAGCCUUUAAGACUAGGAAUUACUAUCCUAGGCCUACUUUUCCUGACAUGCAGUUUGAGGAAAGAAAUCAGUAUACCCAAGCCUCAUACACCAGUGGUACUAUCUAUGAAUGGAACAUAGACGGUAUGACCGAGUAUAACAUACUCACUAAGCUUCAAGAAAUGACCAUGGUAAGUACAGCCUAUAAGUUAAACAAUAGACUGCCAGAUCAUGCUGUAGCUCAGACCAUUGUUGCUUGGUUUACAGGUCAGCUUAAGGGUUGGUGGGAUAAUUAUCUCACUUUUGAUGAUAGGAAUAGUAUCCUUAAUAGGAUUAAUGAGAGUAAUGAAGUUGUUAAGGACAAAGAUGGCCAAGAUAUUGAGGAUGCAGUGGCUACUUUAAUCUAUUCAAUAUCCAAGCACUUCAUCGGAGAUCCUGCAAAAAUUAAGGAUAAAACUGCAGAUCUCUUAACCAAACUUAAGUGUCCCAAGCUUCAUGAUUUUAGGUGGUAUAAGUCUUCCUAACCAAAGUCAUGCUAAGGUCAGAUUGUAACCAGUCUUUUUGGAAAGAAAAAUUCAUCUCAGGAUUACCCAAGCUUUUCUCUGAGAGAAUUAGGAUCAAGAUAAGGGAACAGUAUAAUGGUCAAAUCCCUUAUGAUAAGCUAACCUAUGGUGAGAUUAUAAGCAUUGUCACAGCUGAAGGGAUUAAGUUGUGCAAUGACUUCAAGCUUAAGCAACAGAUGAAGAAUGAACAAAAAAUCUACAAGAAUGAAUUUGGAUCAUUCUGUAGCCAGUUUGGUUUCAGCCAAAAGGAAACUAUGCCUCCCUCUAAGCAAAAACCAAGCAGGAAGCCUAGCAAAGAUAAGUUUUACCACAGUAAGAGAGGUACCUAUGACAACUAUAGGAUGAAUGAUACUAAGCAGUCAAGGCACGUCCAAAGAAGGGUCAACAAAGAUACCCAGAAAAAGGUAGAAACUCCUUUAGAUGUCAAGCCAAUUAUCUGUUUUAAAUGUGGCAAAGUUGGUCAUUAUAAGAAAGAUUGUAGAGUUAAGCAAAAGAUUAAUAACUUAAGUGUUUCAGAUGACCUAAAAAAUAUGCUUUGUAAGGUAAUAUUAAACUCCUCAGAUUCUGAAUCAAGGACUGAUUCAGAUAAUGAAGAUGAUAUUAAUCAACUAGAUAGCAGUGACGAUGUUUCUAGCCAAUCUUCUAGUGACCAAGAUGUUUGUAUUAAGGGUAAUUGUAAUUGUCGUCCUAAAACCAUAAAUGUCAUAAGCCAAGAUCAGGAAUUCAUCUUAGAUACUUUAAGAAAAGUUGAAGAUGAAAAGACUAAGCAGAAUCUUUAUGAAGUUUUUAAGAAAUAUGUUGUUAAGGUAGAAGCCAAGAAGACUGUUAAUCCUUAUAACCUUCACGAUAUCUUAAACAGGUUUGACCAGCAGUCUCCCAAGGAUGUCAGCAUUAAGGAACUUCAUGAAGAAGUUAAGCAGCAUAAAAAGGAGAUUAAGGAGUUAAGACAAUUCAUAAGUCUAGGUCUCUCUAAUCUCCAAGAUCAAAUCAAUAGAAUUGGCAACCAAGAAAUCCAUAUGGAUAUUCCAGAAUCUUCUCAUGUUAAUGAUAAUGAGACAGAUACUUUUUUGAAUACUGUGAGUAGGGUUAUCUUCCAGAGGUGGGAAGUCUCCCUUACUAUAGUAGUCAAAGAUAAAUUUGUCUUUGAUAUUAUUGCUUUGAUUGAUUCAGGAGCAGCUGAAAAUUGCCUUCAAGAAGGUCUUGUACCUAUUCCUUUAUGCGAAGAGACUUGUUAGUCUCUAUUUGGAGCCAAUGGCAAAAGACUUGCCAUUAAGUAUAAAUUAAUAGAUGUUCAUAUCCGUAACCAUGACGUCUGUAUUAAGCAAACCUUUAUCCUUGUUAAGGAUCUUAAUGAAAAAGCCCUUCUAGGAAUACCCUUCUUAAGCUCUAUUUAUCCCUUGUGGGUAGAUAACCAAGGUAUAAGAACAAAGCUUUUUGAUAAGGAAAUUCUUUUUGAAUUUGCUAAUCCAACUGUAAGCAUCACUCCUUUUAACCAAGAAAUUAACCUUGUUAGGUUAGAUGUCCCAAGUAAGCUAAUAGGCAACCAGUUCAUGCAUAAUGACAUUUUAAGCAUUUCUUUAUGCAUUUCAAAAUUUCAAAUUGGGAUUUUGAAUCAAGAAUUUUUAUUAAAAAUUAUUUUCAAAGAUUUUGAAAAAAUUAAAUAUAUAACUUUUAAGUAUGAUUUAAUUAACUGGUAUAUUAUUUUAAAAUCUAAGUUUCAAAGUUACUUUAUUAAAGGAGAUUAUUUCAACCCUAAUCAGCUAUCUCGUGAAUUUUGCAGGGUUCAUGAGAUCAUGGCCCCUAAAAAGAAUACCCAAGCUUCUAGCUCUCACAAACCCUCAUCUAGUCAAGCUAACCAAUCUCCUUCUACCCAUAAAAUGCUUUGGAGUCAACAAGUUGAAGAGGAAGAAGCACAACUUUUGGCAAAGCUUCAUUCUUCUAAACCUAUGCAUGAAUCCAACCAUAUGCCUAACAAAAUGUUGACCUUAUACUAUGAUCCUUCUGAUCAUUCUAAACCAGUUAAGGCAACACAAUAUCUAGCUACCUCAGGGUCUCAGACCUUUAAGCAGGUUACUAUGGCUAAUCCCUCUUAAAAGGAAUUAGCAACAAGCUCUUCUUUUUCAAGCAAACAAAUUGUGGUGGCUGCCAACCCCACACCUCUUUCAACAAAAUCAAGAUAUUGGCAAAAUGAUUUAAAUCAAUCUCUUUUAGUUAUUGAAAGAGAAUUUUUCUCGAAAAACCCCAGAGAGAUUGCUGCAAAAGCAUUUCAAGAAAAUUUUCAUUAUCCCUCUAGUGAUAUUUUAAAAACAAGAGAGUUUUAUGAAGCAGUCCUUAUAGAAACUGGUUCUGUUAAGAUCAAGCAUAACGCUGAUAAAUUCAGCAAUAUGGGCUUGGCAUUCUCCACCUGCCAUAUCUAUAAGAUCCUUACAGUCAAGCAAUGGGGUGAAAAUCCUAAUCUUUCAAGAGAAUUUUCUGAACCAUCUAAGCCAAGGUUUUUUAAUUAUUGGGAUUAUCAGAGAGCAUGGUUUAAUGCUUUUCUGAUCCAGAAUAGGGACUUCCAUCAUUCAUGGAUGUUCUAUUUUCCAUCUAAGAACCAGCUUUCCUCUUUCCCAUUUUGGUUCUACAGUUGGUGGACUUAUUAUGGUCCAACUAUUAAGAUUCUUCCUAAGCCCAUUCUGGAUGGCUUUGAGCUAUUCAGAAGUUCUUUUAAUAUUCCCAGAGAACUUUCAGCAUUUCCCCUUUUACUAUUCUUUUUCAGCAAUUUUGGCCUGGCUUGGAUAGUCCAGUGGGACUAUAUUAUUAUUACAGACGAAUCAGCAGCCUUUCCAUCUCUGGGAAGGACUUUUAAAACUAAAUGGUGGGAUGCAUUAAAAAAUGAUGCAUCUACUGAUGUAGUCAAGUAGUAUUUCCUCAAGAACCCCUCACAAGUCUCAGCCAGUGAUGAUAUGUCUCAGUUUCUCCUCAAAAAGCAACUGUUACAAGCCAUGCUCGCAGCAGCUAAGACCCCUCAAGAGUUUCAAAAAAUCCUUGAAGAAGGAAGCUCAAGCUUCUCCCAAGAAAAUUCUUAUGCAGAGUCUGACGAUUCAACAAGCUACCUUCCAGACAAUGGUGAUGACUGUGAAGGAAUCCUUCCUCCAAUAAGAAGAUCUAAGUAAUCAUCAGCCUUUUGUCUUCCAUCAAAAGUAUUUUACAAGCUUUGCAGUUUCUGUUCCAAAAGCAGCAAGCAUGUGUCUACACAGUAUAAAGCAGCUUGCCAGAAGUCUUCUCAGCCGAAAAGGGGGUUUCGGGGGUUUUCGGUAUAAAAGUGAAUCUUACUAUUCACUAUUCAUUAUUCAAGCACGGGUCUACUGUUCAUGGUUACUAUUCAAGAUUCCUUUUAUGCCUAUUUAAAGAGGCCCGGUCCUCAUUUGUGAAAAAACACUUGAACUUUCUCUCCUAAGCCGAAGCUCUCCCUUCUCUCUUCUUUCUCUCUCAUCAUGUAAACCCUUCAAGCUUUCAAGCUUUCUUCAAGCUUUCUUACCCCUGUCCAUUGUAAGAUAUUUCUCCUUAUGUAUAAUAUAAGUAUGUUUUGAUUGCCUCCUCUAUAGAUGGUUUUUAAUUAUGUUUUGUUUUUCAUUUUAUUUUAUGUUCUUAUACAGCCUACAUGGUCGGUUUUAAUUAAUUUUUAUUUUUAAGUUUAUGUUUUUUAUUUUGUACCGCCUACAUGGUCGGUUUUAAGCUUAUUAUGAACUAACAAGUUUUUGGUUCCUUCUCUUUAAAUUUCUUAUUGGAUAUCUUGUUUGAUUUCUAACCCUCUUCUUUGUUUUGAAUCAUGGCAUAAUUCAUUUGUUCAUUGCACAUGACCUUGUCCUGGGUGUCUAUGGUAUCAGAGCCAUGUGCGAGGGAAGUUGGGUCUUGUUUUGGGUGUUCUUGGCCUAUCCUAGGAUAGGUAGCAGUGUGCCUGGGAGCGCGAGCCCUGCCGGUUGAGCCGUUGUUAGCCGUGGAUAGGCGUUUGUUAGGCUGUAAGAGGGUUGGGGUGACGUCUCAUAAGGUUUGUCAAUAUGCUAUUAGGCUCUAGAUCAAAAACCCUAAAAUGAGUUCAAUUUUCCGAACCAUGUCUAGGAGAUCCAGUGAUUCUCAAGAUACUGUUGUAAACAGUGAAGAGAUCAAUUAUCCUAAGAUCCAAAAUGAUUUAAAUGAUUGGAAGUUACCCAAGGUGUCUAAUCAAGAAAUUUAUAAGAAAUGAACCUUUAAGUUCUUCAUAGAUUGUACCAUUAAGACCUCUGAAAUGUCAGUCAGCUUAGAACAAGACGACCAAGUCAUAAGACUUCUAGAUAACAGAUCCGUUGAUAAGCAUAAGAAAGAUGGCUAUAAUUUCAUACACUUUGGUAUGAUUCAAGUAGCAGCUAAGCCUUUGACAAGAUUAGGUUUAAACACCUCUAUUGUCAUGUGUUUAAGGGAUAAUAGGCAUCUCGAAUAUCGAGAUUCUAUUAUAGGCGUAGUCCAAGCUGGACUGAAUGAUGGCCUAGUCUAUUUCUAGUGCUAUCCUAACUUCACGGUUAGAAUAAGAGAUGCAGACAUCUUAGAUUCCGUUGUCCUGCAUAUUAAGACUCAUGGCUUUAAGAUCAAACCAGGAAACAGUCUUGUUUCUAUCAUAACCAGGUUUGCCUAUAAGAGCAUGAACACAAGCGUUGGAUCUGGGGCUCUUUGUACCAGUCCUAAAGAAGAUCUUGUGGAAAGAUGUUGAUUUCGUUGAAAAUUGGCAUUUUGUUAAUGCUGUUCCAGCCAUAGCACAGCGUUCUGAAAGUAUUGAACAAAAAGUUCAAUAUCCAGAUGGAGAAGGAGAAUUGGUCUUCUCCAAAUCUUUCAGACACUCCAGCAGCCCUAGAGUUUUUGUUUAUGAACCCUCUAGAGCUUCAAGCUCUUCCAUCCCUGUUAGAACCACUAGGGAAGAAGAAGGAUCCAGCUCAAGAAACCCUAAGAACAUUAAGCUAACAGGUGUUAGAAGUCACACCAACGUGGCCAGACCAUUUUACAGUAAAGAAAAUGAGUCUACUCAGGAAUCCCAACAGGAUGAGUCCCCUGUCAUGUCUCCUACCUAUUCCCAGAUGAUUAACACUAUAAGCCUAAGUGAUGAGGACUUUGAGAUCAACAAGGAUCUCUUAAGAAAGGACUUCUAUUCUGAAGUCAAUAAGCAAAGAAAGGAUUUGUUCUUUAGCACUGUCCCUAAGGUCAUUAGAACCAUUUACCAAGAAGAAUUCUAUGCUUACUUAAGACAAGAAAAGAAAAUUAUUAAGUUUUGGAUUUGGUUUGAACUCUUCAGACAAGAGGAAUAUCCAGAUUAUCCUUGUAAGCACAUUAACAACACCUCUACAAAAGCUAAGAUAUGGAAAACCAGUGACAACAUUGUUAUAGAAUCCAUUCAUCCUCCUGAAGCUAAGAUAGAGAAGAAUAUUAAUGGAACCAUAGUCACAGCUUCACCUUUUAAGACUAAGCCAGAGGAUAAAGGAACUGCUAGUGCAUCCGAUAUUAGAAGGAUUAUGGAACAAAUCAAUUAUACUAAUAUGUUUCUCAUAACCCUUGGAAAUCAAGUCAACAGAGUUGAGGAGAUUAUUGAAACUCAGGAUCACCUUAAGAAGCCUUUUGUUAAGAAUGAUAAUAAGCCUUUGUUUAAGCCUUUUGAAUUAUCUAAGAAAUUCCAGGAAAAUCCUCAAAUUGAUCAAGCUUUCAUUGAUAGAAUAAGCUAAAAGGUUAAAGAUAAUCUUGUUAUCCCUUAAACACCUCAACCUUCCCAUAGGAGAAUCCUUUUGGUUAAAAAGAAUAUUAGUCCAAAAGCAAAGGAUAAUGGACUAAUUAGGCUAACCAGAGAACCUUCUAUCCAAAACCCUUUUAAGGAUCAUGAUGAGAAACAAGAAAAAAGGAUUAUCCUUAAUGCCCUAACUAUUAAAGAUCUUCAAGAAGAAAUAGGGCAGUAUAAGAAGGAUAUUGAGAACCUAAGACAACCUACAAGCUCAGAAAUCCCUAUCCCUCAGGAUUAUAUCAACAGGGUAGGUUUUUACCACAGUAGUCCUAAAAAGGAAGACUUUGAAGAAGUUCUUGAAUCUUCACAAGACAAUAGUGAUAAGAUAAAUGCAUACUUAAAUACUAUUAGUAAAGUUAUCUUUCAAAGGUGGGAAGUCUCCCUUACUAUAGUAAUUAAGAAUAAAUUUAUCCUUGAUAUUAUUGCUUUAAUUGAUUCAGAUGCAGCUUUGAAUUGUCUACAAGAAAGUCUAGUACCUACCCAAUUUUAUGAGAAAACCAGGCAAGCCCUCUUUAGUGUUAAUGGUAAAAAGCUUAUUAUCAAGUACAAGCUAUCGAAUGCCCAUAUUUGUAACCAAGGCAUUUGCAUUAAGCAAACCUUCAUUCUUGUUAAAGAUCUCAAGGAGAAAGUUCUCCUUGGAGUCCCUUUCUUAAGCUCCAUCUUUCCUAUGUGGGUAGAUGAUCAAGGUAUAAGAACUAAGCUUUUAGAUAAGGAAAGUCUGUUUGAAUUUGCCAAUCCACCUGGAGAAAGAAGUAUAAACACCAUAAAAGAUCAGGUGAUUAAGGCUAAGCAAAAUCAUAUUAAUCUCUUAAAACAAGAGAUUGCUCUGGUUAGAAUAGAAGAUCAACUGAAGGUUAAGAAAACCCAAGAUGCUAUAGAAAGCCUUAAGAAUAAGAUUAUUAAGGAAGUUUGUUCUAACAUUCCUAAUGCUUUUUGGCACAGGAAGCAGCAUGAGGUAGAAUUACCCUAUGAGCCUGAUUUUAGUGAGAAAAAUAUUCCCACUAAAGCAAGACCAAUCCAAAUGAACAAGGAUUUGUUAGGCUAUUGUGAAAAAGAAAUCCAGGAUCUCAUGGAUAAGAAGUUGAUAAGAAAGUCUAAGUCCCCUUGGAGUUGUUCAGCCUUUUAUGUUCAGAAACAAGCUGAACUUGAAAGAGGAACACCUAGACUAGUCAUCAACCAUAAGCCCCUCAAUGAUGUUUUAAGAUGGAUCAGGUAUCCUAUCCCAAAUAAAAAAGACCUCCUUCAAAGAUUAGGGAUGUCCAAAGUUUUCUCUAAGUUUGACAUGAAAUCAGGAUUUUGGCAAAUCCAGAUUGCAGAAAAAGAUAGGUACAAAACAGCCUUUGUGGUCCCAUUUGGUCAUUAUGAGUGGAAUGUAAUGCACUUUGGCCUUAAGAAUGCACCUUCUGAGUUUCAAAACAUAAUGAAUGAAAUCUUUAACCAGUUUUCUGAUUUCAUUAUUGUUUACAUUGAUGAUGUUUUGAUUUACUCAGAUUCUGUUGAGCAGCAUUGGAAACAUCUCAAUAGGUUUAUUGAGACUGUUAAGAGCAAUGGUUUAAGCUUGUCAGCCACUAAGAUUAACCUCUUUCAAACUAAAGUAAGAUUCCUAGGUCAUCAUAUUCACCAAGGAACAUUCACCCCCAUUCAAAGAUAAAUUGAGUUUGCUGAUAAGUUCCCUGAUGAGAUUAAGGAUAAGAAACAAUUGCAACGUUUCCUAGGAAGCCUUAAUUAUGUGUCAGAUUUCAUACAAGAUUUAAGCCAAUUAUGUGCCCCUUUAAGACAAAGACUUAAGAAAAAUCCAGUUCCUUGGAAUGAGGAUCAUACCAAGAUUGUUAAAAUAGUAAAGUCUAGAGUCAAAACCCUACCAUGUCUCGCCUUAGCUGAUCAUAAAGCCUUUAAGAUUGUUGAGACUGAUGCUUUUGAUAUAGGUUUUGGUGGAAUUCUUAAGCAAAGAAGUAAUAAUCAAGAAUUGUUGGUUAGAUUCACUUCUGGAACUUGGAACCAUGCCCAACUCAACUACAACACCAUCAAAAAGGAAAUUUUAAGCAUCGUUUUAUGCAUUUCAAAAUUUCAAGACGAUCUUUUGAAUCAGGAAUUUUUAUUAAGAGUGGAUUGCAAAUCUGCAAAAUCAGUUUUACAAAAAGAUGUUAAAAAUAUAGCUUCUAAACAUAUUUUUGCUAGAUGGCAAGCUAUUUUAAGCAAUUUUGAUUUUCAAAUUGAGUAUAUUAAAGGAGAAAAUAACUCAAUCCCUGAUUUCCUAACUCAUGAAUUUUUGCAGGAUUCACAAGAUCAUGGCUCCCAAAAUAGAAAAGCAAUCCUUUAAGAAAUCAUCAUCUUACAUGAAACCUCAUUCAGUCUUAUCAGAAAAAUUCAAGCCUUUGUAUUAUGAUUUUGCUUCGGGAUCUCAGGGAUCUACUUCUGAUCCUAAUCCUCCUAUUCUUAAGCAUCCUUCCUCCCCUGUUGUGGAAGAAGGAAAUAUUUCUGGUUCUCUACCUUUGGUGGAAGAACCCAUCCCCUUAGACUUCUCUACUUUUGAUACUAACCCCUUAUCUGUUCAUAAGAGUAUUUGUGAUUUGCAGGCUAGGUGCAGGACCCUUGAAAAAAAGCUAGAAAUAGCUAAUUUUCACAAAAAAGAUAUAAGCCAAGCCCCUUUUUCCCCACUGGAAAUUGGUGAGAAAAAACCAUUCACCCCACUGGUGAAUGAGAAAUUAAGUAAGGAUGAGCAGGAGUGCAUUAUCUUUAGAAUGUUUCACCGAAUGAAUGAGAUCAUGUCCACUCUUAAGCCAAAUGAUAUUUAUCAGCUAAUUUGUGAAAAAGCCAAGUCCAGUGCAGAAGAAAAGCAAGUUUUUAUUUCGGCUUAUCUUCAGGAUCUGCACAUUUAUCUCUCAGCCAUUCCUGGUCUCAGUGUUCCAGGAUUAAAUUUAACCAAGGAAAUGGAAUUUGAUGGCUCAAAACUUUGCAGAAAUUGUACUGAAUCGCUUCUUCAUCAACAAGACAACAAGCCAAUUUGCAACUGCAAUAGGAAUUUCACUAUCAGCAGAGCCUGCAUUGAUCUACAGUAUUACCAACCAAUUAACCUUGCUUUCAAAGGAGAAGUUUUAAUCCUAACUCCUGAAAUGCUUCUUGAUUAUGGAUUGGUUUACCAACUUAUCUGUUCUGAUCCAAGUCAAGCUAGCAAUUUUGGCAGAAAGGUUAAUCUAAGCUUAACCCAAGGUUUUAAGUUAAACAAGAAGUUUGCUGAUGCCAUUUUUAUUAGCAAAGCUCCUGAAUGGAUUUCUAGAGGCAACGUUCUUCCAGCACAACACUAUGUUAAUCUUCAUUACCAGAAUAGAAGACCUACUCUUCUGUCCAGUCCCUUAGUUCAAACCGACAUUUGCGGAGAGCCAAUUAUUAAGCAAAUCAAGCAUUGGAGAGCCAGAGUCAUCAGCAGAGACUUUGAAGCCUACCCAAAAAACAUGGGGCAUCUCAUUGCUGCGGAUUCCCUACAUCAGAUUUUUUGCAGUAAAAAGAUUGACCCUUUACCGUUCAAAUCCACUAUUCAAGAUACUCAGCUCCUAAUGGAUCACCGCUCGGAAUAUAUUCCUCCCUGAUUAACUGAUCAGCAGUCAUUUCAGCCGAAAGCAAGCCUCCAGGUCAAAAGUCGAAAGUGCUACAGUUCCCUCUUACUGUUCACUUUUACUAUUCAAGCACUAUUCAAGCACGGGUCUAUUGUUCAUGGUUACUAUUCAAGAUUCCUUUUUUGCCUAUUUAAGGAGGCAAGGUCCUCAUUUGUAAGAACACUUGAAUUUUCUCUCCUAAGCUGAAGCUCUCCCUUCUCUCUUCUUUCCCUCUCAUCAUGUAAACCCUUCAAGCUUUCAAGCUUUCUUCAAGCUUUCAAGCUUUCUUCAAGCUUUCCUACCCUUGUCCAUUGUAAGAUAUUUCUCCUUAUGUAUAAUAUAAGUAUGUUUUGAUUGCCUCCUCUAUGGAUGGUUUUUAAUUAUGUUUUGUUUUUCAUUUUAUUUUAUGUUCUUAUACCGCCUACAUGGUCGGUUUUAAUUAAUUUUUAUUUUUAAGUUUAUGUUUUUUAUUUUGUACCGCCUACAAGGUCGGUUUUAAGCUUAUUAUGAACUAACAAGUUUUUGGUUCCUUCUCUUUAAAUUUCUUGUUGGAUAUCUUGUUUGAUUUCUAACCCUCUACUUUGUUUUGAAUCAUGGCAUAAUUCAUUUGUUCAUUGCACAUGACCUUGUCCUGGGUGUCUAUGGUAUCAGAGCCAUGUGGGAGGGAAGUUGGGUCUUGUUUUGGGUGUUCUUGGCCUAUCCUAGGAUAGGUAGCAGUGUGUCUGGGAGCGCGAGCCCUGCCGGUUGAGCCGUUGUUAGCCGUGGAUAGGCGUUUGUUAGGCUGUAAGAGGGUUGGGGUGACGUCUCAUAAGGUUUGUCAAUCUGCUAUUAGGCUCUAGUUCAAAAACCCUAAAAUGAGUUCAAUUUUCCGAACCAUGUCUAGGAGAUUCAGUGAUUCUCAAGAUACUGUUGUAAACAGUGAAGAGAUCAAUUAUCCUAAGAUCCAAAAUGAUUUAGAUGAUUGGAAGUUACCCAAGGUGUCUAAUCAAGAAAUUUAUAAGAAAGGAACCUUUAAGUUCUUCACAGAUUAUACCAUUAAGACCUCUGAAAUGUCAGUCAGCUUAGAACAAGACGACCAAGUCAUAAGACUUCUAGAUAACAGAUCCAUUGAUAAGCAUAAGAAAGAUGGCUAUAAUUUCAUACACUUUGGUAUGAUUCAAGUAGCAGCUAAGCCUUUGACAAGAUUAGGUUUAAACACCUCUAUUGUCAUGUGUUUAAGGGAUAAUAGGCAUCUCGAAUAUCGAGAUUCUAUUAUAGGCGCAGUCCAAGCUGGACUGAAUGAUGGCCCAGUCUAUUUCCAGUGCUAUCCUAACUUCACAGUUAGAAUAAGAGAUGCAGACAUCUUAGUCCGUUGUCCUGCAUUUUAAGACCCAUGGCUUUAAGAUCAAACCAGGAAACAAUCCUGUUUCUAUCAUAACCAGGUUUGCCUAUAAGAGCAUGAACACAAGCGUUGGAUCUGGGCUCUUUGUACCAGUCCUGAAGGUGAGACCACCUAUUUUCACUCAGAUAAGCUAGAUAAGUCAGAACUCAUCAUCCCCAAGAAGAUCUUGUGGAAAGAUGUUGAUUUCCCUGAAAAUUGGCAUUUUGCUAAUGCUGUUCCAGCCAUAGCACAACGUUCUGAAAGUAUUGAACAAAUAGUUCAAUAUCCAGAUGGAGAAGGAGAACUGGUCUUCUCCAAAUCUUUCAGACAUUCCAGUAGCCCUAGAGUUUCAGUUUAUGAACCCUCUAGAGCUUCAAGUUCUUCCAUUCCAGUUAGAACCACUAGGGAAGAAGAAGGAUCCAGCUCAGGAAAUCCUAAGAACAUUAAGCUAACAGGUGUUAGAAGUCACACCAACGUGGCUAGAUCAUUUUACAGUGAAGAAAAUGAGUCUACUCAGGAAUCCCAACAGGAUGAGUCCCCUGUUAUUUCUCCUACCUAUUCCCAGAUGAUUAACACAAUAAGCCUAAGUGAUGAGGACUUUGAGAUCAACAAGGAUCUCUUAAGAAAGGACUUCUAUUCUGAAGUCAAUAAGCAAAGAAAUGAUUGGUUCUUUAGCACUAUCCCUAAAUUCAUUAGAACCAUUUACCAAGAAGAAUUCUAUGCCUACUUAACACAAGAAAAGAAAAAUAUUAAGUUUUGGAUCUGGUUUGAACUCUUCAAACAAGAGGAAUAUCCAGAUUAUCCCUUUAAGCGUAUUAACAACACUAAGAGCACUGAUAAAACUAAGUCCUUUGAAUUUUCUAAGGAAUUCGAGGAAAAUCCCCAAAUCAACUAGGCUUUUGCUGAUAGGAUUAAUCAGAAGAUUAAGGAUAAUCUUGUUGCCCCUUUGACUGUUCAGCCUGAUAAGAGAAUUAAUAUGGUUAAAGGUGAUAUUAGUUCAGAAGAAGAAGCUGAUGAAUUAAUUAAGAUGUUUGAGGAACCCCACAAUCAAAUUAUUAACAACUUAGAAGCCUUUAAGACUAGGAAUUACUAUCCUAGGCCUACUUUUCCUGACAUGCAGUUUGAGGAAAGAAAUCAAUAUACUCAAGCCUCAUACACCAGUGGUACUAUCUAUGAAUGGAACAUAGACGGUAUCACCGAGUAUAACAUACUCACUAAGCUUCAAGAAAUGACCAUGGUUAGUACAGCCUAUAAAUUAAACAAUAGACUGCCAGAUCAUGCUGUAGCUCAGACCAUUGUUGUUGGGUUUACAGGUCAGCUUAAGGGUUGGUGGGAUAAUUAUCUCACUUUUGAUGAUAAGAAUAGUAUCCUUAAAGCCUAUAGGAUUAAUGAGAGUAAUGAAGUGGUUAAUGACGAAGAUGGCCAAGAUAUUGAGGAUGCAGUGGCUACUUUAAUCUACUCAAUAUCCAAGCACUUCAUUGGAGAUCCUGCAAAAAUUAAGGAUAAAACUGCAGAUCUCUUAACCAACCUUAAGUGUCCCAAGCUUCAUGAUUUUUGGUGGUAUAAGGAAGUCUUCCUAACCAAAGUCAUGCUAAGGUCAGAUUGUAACCAGUCUUUUUGGAAAGAAAAAUUCAUCUCAGGUUUACCCAAGCUUUUCUCUGAGAGAAUUAGGAUCAAGAUAAGGGAACAGUAUAACGGUCAAAUCCCUUAUGAUAAGCUAACCUAUGGUGAGAUUAUAAGCAUUGUCACAACUGAAGGGAUUAAGUUGUGAAAUGACUUCAAGCUUAAGCAACAAAUGAAGAAUGAACAAAAAAUCUACAAGAAUGAAUUUGGAUCAUUCUGUAGCCAGUUUGGUUUCAGCCAAAAAGAAACUAUGCCUCCUUCUAAGCAAAAACCAAGUAGGAAGCCUAGCAAAGAUAAAUUUUACCACAGUAAGAGAGGUACCCAUGACAACUAUAGGAUGAAUGAUACUAAGCAUUCAAGGCACGUCCAAAGAAAGGUCAACAAAGAUACCCAGAAAAAGAUAGAAACUCCUUUAGAAGUCAAGCCAAUUAUCUGUUUUAAAUAUGGCAAAGUUGGCCAUUAUAAGAAAGAUUUUAGAGUUAAGCAAAAGUUUAAUAACCUAAGUGUCUUAGAUGACCUAAAAAAUAUGCUUUGUAAGGUAUUGUUAAACUCCUCAGAUUCUGAAUCAAGGACUGAUCCAAAUAAUGAAGAUGAUAUUAAUCAACUAGAUAGUAGUGGCGAUGUUUCUAGCCAAUCUUCUAGUGACCAAGAUGUUUGUAUUAAGGGUAAUUGUAAUUGCCGUCCUAAAACCAUAAAUGUCAUAAGCCAAGAUCAGGAGUUCAUCCUAGAUACUUUAAGAAAAGUUGAAGAUGAAAAGACUAAGCAAAAUCUUUAUGAAGUUUUUAAGAAAUCUGUUGUUAAGGUAGAAGCCAAGAAGACUGUUAAUCCUUAUAACCUUAAUGAUAUCUUAAACAGGUUUGACCAACAGUCUCCCAAGGAAGUCAGCAUUAAGGAACUUCAUGAAGAAGUUAAGCAGCAUAAAAAAGAGAUUAAGGAGUUAAGACAAUUCAUAAGUCUAGGUCUCUCUGAUCUUCAAGAUCAAAUCAAUAGAAUUGGCAACCAAGAAAUCCAUAUGGAUAUUCCAGAAUCUUCUCAUGUUAAUGAUAAUGAGAUAGAUACUUUUUUGAAUACUGUGAGUAGGGUUAUCUUCCAGAGGUGGGAAGUCUCCCUUACUAUAGUAGUCAAAGAUAAAUUUGUCUUUGAUAUUAUUGCUUUGAUUGAUUCAGGAGCAGCUGAAAAUUGCCUUCAAGAAGGUCUUGUACCUAUUCCUUUAUGCGAAUAGACAAGUCAGUCUCUAUUUGGAGCCAAUGGCAAAAGACUUGCCAUUAAGUAUAAAUUAACAGAUGUUCAUAUCCGUAACCAUGACGUCUGUAUUAAGCAAACCUUUAUCCUUGUUAAGGAUCUUAAUGAAAAAGCCCUUCUAGGAAUACCCUUCUUAAGCUCUAUUUAUCCCUUGUGGGUAGAUAACCAAGGUAUAAGAACAAAACUUUUUGAUAAGGAAAUUCAUUUUGAAUUUGCUAAUCCAACUGUAAGCAUCACACCUUGUAAUCAAGAAAUUAAUCUUGUUAGAAUAGAUGAUCCACCUAAGAUAUUUGGUACCCAAUUCAUUCAUAAUCUCAUUAUAAAUGAUAUUUUCAGCAUUCUUUAUGCAUUUCAAAAUUUCAAACUGAUAUUUUGAACCAAGGAAUUUUAAAAGUGGUUUUCACAGCUGAGAAAACAAUUAAGUAUAUAGCUUUUAAGUAUAAUUUAAUUGAUUGGAUUAUUUUAAACCCUAAUUUUCAAAUUAAGCUUAUUAAAGGAGAAAGUUCCAUUCCUAAUCUCUCAACUCAUGGAAUUUGCAGGAUUCACGAGACCAUGGCCCCCAAGAAAGACAAACAACCUUUUAGGUCCAUUAAACCUACAGAUUCUAAGAAUUCUCAUUUAGUUCUUUCUGAAAAAUUCAUGCCACUUCAUUAUGGCCAUUUUGAAGUAGCAGGUUCUUCCAGCCACUUUAAUCAUCACAUUCCUUCAGCAUCCCCUAAUAGGGAUAUAGAUUCAAGCUUGGAAUCUCUACCUUUUGUGGAAGAUUCCUUCCCCAUAAAUCCAUCUUUUAGUAAUACUAACACUUUAUCUGAUUAUAUCAAUUGCAUUUUUGAAUGGCAGGGAAGGUAUGAGACCCUUGAAAGGAAACUUGAAUUAGUUGACUUUCAUAAGCUCAGGUUAAAAGCUCAAGCCUCAUUUUCCCCACUCGAAAAUGGUGAGAAUAAGCAUUCUACCCCACUGGUGAAUGAUAAAUUGAGUGAGGAAGAGUUGGGUUACCGUAUGCUAAGAAUGUAUCAUCAUAAGACAGAGAAUCUAUACUCUCUUAAGCCAGAACUACGUCUCCUAAUUUUGGAAAAGGCUAAGUCCUUAGCAGAAGAAAAACAGAUCUUCAUCUCUUCAUACCUCCAAGAUCUUCAUCUCUAUCUUUCUACCAAUAUUGGUCUUAAGGUCCUAGGUUUAAGCUUGGUUACUGAGAAGGAAGUUGAUGAUUCAAAAAUUUGCAGAAUAAUUGAAGAACCUUUCCAGUACCAAAAAGGCACCAAGAAGUUGAUUUGCAACUGCAACAGAAAUUUCACAAUCAGUCGUGUUUGCUUGGACUUGCAAUACUAUUCACCAAUCAGCAUCAAAUUCAAGGGUGAAGAUUUAUUAUUAACUCCAGAAAAGCUUCUGGACCAUGGUCUAGUCCAUCAAAUCAUCUGUACUGAUCCCAACCAAGUUUCCCAGUUUGGAAGAAAAAUUGCUCUUGGCCUAACCCAAGGAUUUAAAAUAAAUAAGAAAUUCGCGGAAGCCAUCAUCAUCAGCAAAGCUCCUGAGUGGGUUUCUAGUGGCAAGCUUAUUCCAGCUCAACACAUUGUUGCUCUUCACUAUCAGAAUAGGAGACCUACUCGGCUGUCUUACCCUCUGUUAUUUUAUGAUAUUUGUGCUGAAUCCAUUAUUAAACAAAUCAAACACUGGAGAGCCAUAAUUAUUUGCAGGGAUUUUGAGGCUUUUCCAAGAAAUAUGGGACAUCUUAUUGCUGCAGAUUCUUGUCAUCAAAUUUUCUGUGGCAAGAAGUUACACCCUCUUCCAACCAUGGCUAGUACUGAAGAUAUUAAGCUUCUUGAAGAUCAUCGUAAGGAUUUCUCAUGAUGACCGGUCAACAAGAAUAUUUUACAAGCUUUGCAGUUUCUGUACCAAAAGCAGCAAGCAUGCGUCUACACAGUAUAAAGCAGCCUGCCAGAAGUCUUCUCAGCCGAAAAAGGGUUUUUGGGGGAUUUCGGUAUAAAAGUGAAUCUUACUAUUCACUAUUCACUAUUCACUAUUCAAGCACAGGUCUACUGUUCAUGGUUACUAUUCAAGAUUCCUUUUUUGCCUAUUUAAGGAGGCAAGGUCCUCAUUUGUAAGAACACUUAAAUUUUCUCUCCUAAGCUUAUGCUCUCCCUUCUCUCUUCUUCUCUCUCAUCAUGUAAGCCCUUCAAGCUUUCAAACUUUCUUCAAGCUUUCCUACUCUUGUCCAUUGUAAGAUAUUUCUCCUUAUGUAUAAUAUAAGUAUGUUUUGAUUACCUCCUAUAUGGAUGGUUUUGUUUUUAUUUUAUGUUUUUAUGCCUCCUACAUGGAUGGUUUUAAUUAAGUUUUGUUUUUCAUUUUAUUUUAUGUUCUUGUACUGCCUACAUGGUCGGUUUUAAUUAAGCUUUGUUUUUAAGUUUAUGUUUUUCAUUUUAUACCGCCUACAUGGUCGGUUUUAAGCUUAUUAUGAACUAACAAGUUUUUGGUUCCUUUUCUUUAAAUUUCUUUGUUGGAUAUCUUUUGUAUUUUCUAACCCUCUUCUUUGUUUUGAAUCAUGGCAUAAUUCCUGUUUUCAUUGCAUAUGACCUUGUCCUGGGUGUCUAUGGUAUAAGAGCCAUGUGGGAGGGAAGUUGAGUCUUGUUUUGGGUGUUCUUGGCCUAUCCUAUGAUAGGUAGCAGUGUGCCUGGGAGCGCGAGCCCUGCCAGUUGAGCAGUUGUUAGCCGUGGAUAGGCGUUUGUUAGGCUGUAAGAGGGUUGAGGUGACGUCUCAUAAGGUCUGUCAAUCUACUAUUAAGCUCUAGUUCAAAAACCCUAAAAUGAGUUCAAUUUUCCGAACCAUGUCUAGGAGAUCCAGUGAUUCUCAAGAUACUGUUGUAAACAGUAAAGAGAUCAAUUAUCCUAAGAUCCAAAAUGAUUUAGAUGAUUGGAAGUUACCCAAGGUGUCUAAUCAAGAAAUUUAUAAGAAAAGAACCUUUAAGUUCUUCACAGAUUAUACCAUCAAGACCUCUGAAAUGUCAGUCAGCUUAGAACAAGACGACCAAGUCAUAAGACUUCUAGAUAACAGAUCCAUUGAUAAGCAUAAGAAAGAUGGCUAUAAUUUCAUACACUUUGGUAUGAUUCAAGUAGCAGCUAAGCCUUUGACAAGAUUAGGUUUAAACACCUCUAUUGUCAUGUGUUUAAGGGAUAAUAGGCAUCUCGAAUAUCGAGAUUCUAUUAUAGGCGCAGUCCAAGCUGGACUGAAUGAUGGCCCAGUCUAUUUCCAGUGCUAUCCUAACUUCACAGUUAGAAUAAGAGAUGCAGACAUCUUAGUCCGUUGUCCUGCAUAUUAAGACUCAUGGCUUUAAGAUCAAACCAGGAAACAGUCUUGUUUCUAUCAUAACCAGGUUUGCCUAUAAGAGCAUGAACACAAGCGUUGGAUCUGGGACUCUUUGCACCAGUCCUAAGGGUGAAAUCACUUACUUUCACUCAGAUAUGCUAGAUAAGUCAGACUUCAUCAUCCCCAAGAAGAUUUUGUGGAAAGAUGUUGAUUUCCCUGAAAAUUGGCAUUUUGCUAAUGCUGUUCCAGCCAUAGCACAGCGUUCUGAAAGUAUUGAACAAAUAGUUCAAUAUCCAGAUGGAGGAGGAGAACUGGUCUUCUCCAAAUCUUUCAGACAUUCCAGUAGCCCUAGAGUUUCAGUUUAUGAACCCUCUAGAGCUUCAAGUUCUUCCAUUCCAGUUAGAACCACUAGGGAAGAAGAAGGAUCCAGCUCAGGAAAUCCUAAGAACAUUAAGCUAACAGGUGUUAGAAGUCACACCAACGUGGCUAGACCAUUUUACAGUGAAGAAAAUGAGUCUACUCAGGAAUCCCAACAGGAUGAGUCCCCUGUUAUGUCUCCUACCUAUUCCCAGAUGAUUAACACAAUAAGCCUAAGUGAUGAGGACUUUGAGAUCAACAAGGAUCUCUUAAGAAAGGACUUCUAUUCUGAAGUCAAUAAGCAAAGAAAUGAUUGGUUCUUUAGCACUAUCCCUAAAGUCAUUAGAACCAUUUACCAAGAAGAAUUUUAUGCCUACUUAAGACAAGAAAAGAAAAAUAUUAAGUUUUGGAUCUGGUUUGAACUCUUCAAACAAGAGGAAUAUCCAGAUUAUCCCUUUAAGCGUAUAAAGGUUACCAGUAGUAAUAAUGAAAAAAAGUGAUAUGAAUUCUCUAAGGAAUUCCAAGAAAAUCCCCAAGUCAACCAAGCUUUUGUCGAUAGGAUUAAUCAGAAAAUUAAGGAUAAUCUUGUUACUCCUUUGACUGUUCAGCCUGAUAAGAGAAUCAAUAUGGUUAAAGGUGAUAUUAGUUCAGAAGAAGAAGCUGAUGAACUAAUUAAGAUGUUUGAGGAACCCCAUAAUCAAAUUAUUAACAACUUGGAAGCCUUUAAGACUAGGAAUUACUAUCCUAUGCCUACUUUUCCUGACAUGCAGUUUGAGGAAAGAAAUCAGUAUACCCAAUCCUCAUACACCAGUGGUACUAUCUAUGAAUGGAACAUAGACGGUAUGACCGAGUAUAACAUACUCACUAAGCUUCAAGAAAUGACCAUGGUAAGUACAGCCUAUAAGUUAAACAAUAGACUGCCAGAUCAUGCUGUAGCUCAGACCAUUGUUGCUGGGUUUACAGGUCAGCUUAAGGGUUGGUGGGAUAAUUAUCUCACUUUUGAUGAUAGGAAUAGUAUCCUUAAAGCCUAUAGGAUUAAUGAGAGUAAUGAAGUUGUUAAGGACGAAGAUGGCCAAGAUAUUGAGGAUGCAGUGGCUACUUUAAUCUACUCAAUAUCCAAGCACUUCAUCGGAGAUCCUGCAAAAAUUAAGGAUAAAACUGCAGAUCUCUUAACCAACCUUAAGUGUCCCAAGCUUCAUGAUUUUUGGUGGUAUAAGUCUUCCUAACCAAAGUCAUGCUAAGGUCAGAUUGUAACCAGUCUUUUUGGAAAGAAAAAUUCAUCUCAGGUUUACCCAAGCUUUUCUCUGAGAGAAUUAGGAUCAAGAUAAGGGAACAGUAUAACGGUCAAAUCCCUUAUGAUAAGCUAACCUAUGGUGAGAUUAUAAGCAUUGUCACAGCUGAAGGGAUUAAGUUGUGUAAUGACUUCAAGCUUAAGCAACAGAUGAAGAAUGAACAAAAAAUCUACAAGAAUGAAUUUGGAUCAUUCUGUAGCCAGUUUGGUUUCAGCCAAAAGGAAACUAUGCCUCCCUCUAAGAAAAAACCAAGCAGGAAGCCUAGCAAAGAUAAGUUUUACCACAGUAAGAGAGGUACCUAUGACAACUAUAGGAUGAAUGAUACUAAGCAGUCAAGGCACGUCCAAAGAAGGAUCAACAAAGAUACCCAGAAAAAGGUAGAAACUCCUUUAGAUGUCAAGCCAAUUACCUGUUUUAAAUGUGGCAAAGUUGGCCAUUAUAAAAAAGAUUGUAGAGUUAAGCAAAAGAUUAAUAAUUAAGUGUCUCAGAUGACCUAAAGAAUAUGCUUUGUAAGGUAAUGUUAAACUCAGAUUCUGAAUCAGGGACUGAUUCAGAUAAUGAAGAUGACAUUAAUCAACUAGACAGUAGUGGUGAAGUUUCCAGCCAAUCUUCUAGUGACCAAGAUGUUUGUAUUAAGGGUAAUUGUAAUUGCCGUCCUAAAACUAUAAAUGUCAUACGCCAAGAUCAGGAGUUUAUCCUAGAUACUUUAAGAAAAGUUGAAGAUGAAAAGACUAAGCAAAAUCUUUAUGAAGUUUUUAAGAAAUCUGUUGUUAAAGUAGAAGACAAGAAGACUGUUAAUCCUUAUAACCUUAAUGAUAUCUUAAACAUGUUUGACCAACAGUCUCCCAAGGAAGUCAGCAUUAAGGAACUUCAUGAAGAAGUUAAGCAGCAUAAAAAGGAGAUUAAGGAGUUAAGACAAUUCAUAAGUCUAGGUCUCUCUGAUCUCCAAGAUCAAAUCAAUAGAAUUGGCAACCAAGAAAUCCAUAUGGAUAUUCCAGAAUCUUCUCAUGUUAAUGAUAAUGAGACAGAUAUUUUUUUUGAAUACUGUGAGUAGGGUUAUCUUCCAGAGGUGGGAAGUCUCCCUUACUAUAGUAGUCAAAGAUAAAUUUGUCUUUAAUAUUAUUGCUUUGAUUGAUUCAGGAGCAGCUGAAAAUUGCCUUCAAGAAAGUCUUGUACCUAUUCCUAUAUGCGAAGAGACUAGUCAGUCUCUAUUUGGAGCCAAUGGCAAGAGACUUUCCAUUAAGUAUAAAUUAACAGAUGUUAAUAUCCGUAACCAUGACGUCUGUAUUAAGCAAACCUUUAUCCUUGUUAAGGAUCUUAAUGAAAAAGCCCUUCUAGGAAUACCCUUCUUAAGCUCUAUUUAUCCCUUGUGGGUAGAUAACCAAGGUAUAAGAACAAAGCUUUUUGAUAAGGAAAUUCAUUUUGAAUUUGCUAAUCCAACUGUAAGCAUCACACCUUGUAACCAAGAAAUUAAUCUUGUUAGAAUAGAUGACCCACCUAAGAUAUUUGGUACCCAAUUCACUCAUAAUCUCAUUAUAAAUGAUAUUUUCAGCAUUCCUUUAUGCAUUUCAAAAUUUCAAACUGAUAUUUUGAACCAAGGAAUUUUAAAAGUUGUUUUCACAACUGAGAAAACAAUUAAGUAUAUAGCUUUUAAGUAUAAUUUAACUGAUUGGAUUAUUUUAAACCCUAAUUUUCAAAUUAAGCUUAUUAAAGGAGAAAGUUCCAUUCCUAAUCUCUCAACUCAUGGAAUUUGCAGGAUUCACGAGACCAUGGCCCCCAAGAAAGACAAACAACCUUUUAGGUCCAUUAAACCUACAGAUUCUAAGAAUUCUCAUUUAGUUCUUUCUGAAAAAUUCAUGCCACUUCAUUAUGGCCAUUUUGAAGUAGCAGGUUCUUCCAGCCACUUUAAUCAUCACAUUCCUUCAGCAUCCCCUAGUAGGGAUAUAGAUUCAAGCUCGGAAUCUCUACCUUUUGUGGAAGAUUCCUUCCCCAUAAAUCCAUCUUUUAGUAAUACUAACACUUUAUCUGAUUAUAUCAAUUGCAUUUUUGAAUGGCAGGGAAGGUAUGAGACCCUUGAAAGGAAACUUGAAUUAGUUGACUUUCAUAAGCUCAGGUUAAAAGCUCAAGCCUCAUUUUCCCCACUCGAAAAUGGUGAGAAUAAGCAUUCUACCCCACUGGUGAAUGAUAAAUUGAGUGAGGAAGAGUUGGGUUACCGUAUGCUAAGAAUGUAUCAUCAUAAGACAGAGAAUCUAUACUCUCUUAAGCCAGAACUACGUCUCCUAAUUUUGAAAAAGGCUAAGUCCUCAGCAGAAGAAAAACAGAUCUUCAUCGCUUCAUACCUCCAAGAUCUUCAUCUCUAUCUUUCUACCAAUAUUGGUCUUAAGGUCCCAGGUUUAAGCUUGGUUACUGAGAAGGAAGUUGAUGAUUCAAAAAUUUGCAGAAUAAUUGAAGAACCUUUCCAGUACCAAAAAGGCAUCAAGAAGUUGAUUUGCAACUGCAACAGAAAUUUCACAAUCAGUCGUGUUUGCUUGGACUUGCAAUACUAUUCACCAAUUAGCAUCAAAUUCAAGGGUGAAGAUUUAUUAUUAACUCCAGAAAAGCUUUUGGACCAUGGUCUAGUCCAUCAAAUCAUCUGUUCUGAUCCCAACCAAGUUUCCCAGUUUGGAAGAAAAAUUGCUCUUGGCCUAACCCAAGGAUUUAAAAUAAAUAAGAAAUUCGCGGAAGCCAUCAUCAUCAGCAAAGCUUCUGAGUGGGUUUCUAGUGGCAAGCUUAUUCCAGCUCAGCACAUUGUUUCUCUUCACUAUCAGAAUAGGAGACCUACUCGACUGUCUUAUCCUCUGUUAUUUUCUGAUAUUUGUGCUGAAUCCAUUAUUAAGCAAAUCAAACACUGGAGAGCCAGAAUUAUUUGCAGGGAUUUUGAGGCUUUUCCAAGAAAUAUGGGACAUCUUAUUGCUGCAGAUUCUUGUCAUCUAAUUUUCUGUGGCAAGAAGUUACACCCUCUUCCAACCAUGGCUAGUAUUGAAGAUAUUAAGCUUCUUGAAGAUCAUCGUAAGGAUUUCUCAUGAUGACUGGUUAACAAGAAUAUUUUACAAGCUUUGCAGUUUCUGUACCAAAAGCAACAAGCAUGCGUCUACACAGUAUAAAGCAGCCUGCCAAAAGUCUUCUCAGCCGAAAAAGGGUUUUUGGGGGAUUUUCGGUAUAAAAGUGAAUCUUACUAUUCAUUAUUCACUAUUCACUAUUCAAGCACGGGUCUACUGUUCAUGGUUACUAUUCAAGAUUCCUUUUUUGCCUAUUUAAGGAGGUAAGGUCCUCAUUUGUAAGGACACUUGAAUUUUCUCUCCUAAGCUGAAGCUCUCCCUUCUCUCUUCUUUCUCUCUCAUCAUGUAAACUCUUCAAGCUUUCAAGCUUUCUUCAAGCUUUCCUACCCCUGUCCAUUGUAAGAUAUUUCUCCUUAUGUAUAAUAUAAGUAUGUUUUGAUUACCUCCUAUAUGGAUGGUUUUUAAUUAUGUUUUGUUUUUCAUUUUAUUUUAUGUUCUUAUACCGCCUAUAUGGUCGGUUUUAAUUAAUUUUUAUUUUUAAGUUUAUGUUUUUUAUUUUGUACCGCCUACAUGGUCGGUUUUAAGCUUAUUAUGAACUAACAAGUUUUUGGUUCCUUCUCUUUAAAUUUCUUGUUGGAUAUCUUAUUUGAUUUCUAACCCUCUUCUUUGUUUUGAAUCAUGGCAUAAUUCAUUUGUUCAUUGCACAUGACCUUGUCCUGGGUGUCUAAUAUAUAUAUAUAUAUAUAUAUAUAUAUAUAUAUAUAUAUAUAUAUACUUACUUUUGUAUAAGAAUUUUUAUAUUUUAUUCUAUUUUAUAAAUAAAGAUGAAAAAUGUAUCCAAACAUAUGCUAACUAAUUCUCUUUAAAAAUGCUUCUAAUGAAAAUAUGCUAACAAAUAAACUGCAAAUAAAAAUACUUUAAGCAAAUUCACUAUCAAGGGAGUCUAAGUUAUAAUAAAUAUUUUCAUCAAGAUUUAAAAGAAAUAAGGAAUUAAGGAAGAAGCUUCAAAAUGAUUUUAAUUUAAACUCAUUUCAUUUGUAAUCUUGCAAUCUCAUGCCCUAAAUGUUCCCAUUCAUCAAUUUUAUUGAUAAAAUUUUAUUAGAAUUAAUAAUUAUUAAAAAAAAUUAAAUUCAAAACCUUUUUAAAAAACCCCACUGUUUAUAUUGUAAUUUGGGUAGUCAUUUCUAAUAUAGAAGAUAUUAUCAACAUUUUAUUUAUUAUUUAUUUUCAUUUUGGUAAAAUUCUAGAAUUACGUGAAUUUUUCUUCUUAGAAUAAGAAAGAUAUAAUAAAGAAAAUGAGGGAAAGCUGAUACGCUAAAUGGAAAUAUGUGCAAUCAAUUUACAUAAAAUUAAAAUUCUGAUUAUUUUCAUUUUUAUUGUUUUUAUUUAAUCAAAAUGACAAUAAGCGGAAUGAAAAAAAAGAAAGGUGAGAAUUAAAAAUUCUUCGUGGAAAAUGCUAGCUGGUUGUACUAAUAAAGGUGAUGGUGAUGAUGAGUAGGGGGCAAUCAUUAUGUUUUCUUAUCAGAUGAGUGAUGAUCCCAAUCAGAAGGCUGACCACUUUAUUAGUGGUGAUGGUGAUAGUUUUCCACAUAUAUCAUCAUCUGUCUUGUGCAUGAUUAAAUUUUGUGGCUUAAAAAUGAGGAUUACCUAUUUACCCCUUUAGGUAGUUUUCAAGAAUUAAGAUAAAAACUUUUAAAACCAUAUCAAGUUUCAUGGUAAAAUAUCAUCAACCCCGACUUAAAUUUUAUCAAAAUAAAAAUUAUUUUUAAGUAAUAUAAAAUAGAAUAACUUUAAUAAAGGUGAUAGUGAAGAUGAUGGUGGGUACACUAAAGGUAUAAAAUUGACGACUUUUAAAGGAUUUAAGAUCUUAGAUAAGGAAAACUAUACAUCAUAUAUCAUUAUAAUUGGAUCUUUAUUCUUAUAUUUAGAUAAGAUACUUUGAUUAAAGAAAUUUAUAGUUAUGAAAAAAAAUAAAUUUUGUAACUUAAAAAUAUAAAUUACCUAUUUACUCCCUCCAAAUGGUUUCAAGAAUUAAUAAAAUCUUUUAAAAACUAUAUAGAAUUUCAUGAUAAAAUAUCAACUCUCAAGAAUGUCAAAAUACUUAAAAUUUUAUCAAAAUAAAAAUUAAUUUUCAUUAAUACAAAACAAAAAUAAACUUUUUUUUUUUUGGAUAGAAAGUGAUAAUUAAAAGAUUUUCAAUUGAAAAUAUUAUACAACGGAUGUUGAUAGAAUGUUAGCUAACAUGUUUAUGUAGGAUUUAAUUUGUGAAAAAUGGAUAAAAAUCAAUUGGCUUAUUGAUGGGACAAUUAAAAGUGUAUUCGAUAGUGAUUUUAUAAAACGUUUUUAUUCUUAAAAGUAUUUUUUUAAAAAAAAAUUAAGUUUAAAAAAACACUCUUAAAAAUAUGAAAAAUCACUUAUAAUUGAGAAAAAAACUUUUAUAAUAUUUUUCAAAAAAAUACUUAAUAGAUGAUUAUCUUAAAAACACUUUUUGAUACAAUAUUUCCGUACCGAACACAUUUCUAAUAUUGCAAAAAAAUUGUCAAUAUAUAUCAUUGAUGGACAUAGUCACAAUAAUUACAUUUCCCACAAAUUUUCUAGAAACCAAGCAUAUUAAUGGGAAUUACAAGUCGCUUGGAAUCAAAUUAAGUUACAUCUGAGGGGCAAUAAGGGAACAUGAAGCACCGUCUUCAACGAGAUGUUGAAGCCAAUACCUAUACCUUCUAAACCAACUCCUCUCUUUUGCUUCAUUCAUCAUCCCAAAGUUCUCCACAGCAUUGUUUAGGAUAUUAUGAUAUAUUUUAGGAAAGUAGUUGUUAUUGUUUAGGAUUGUUUCCUAAACUCACAGUUUUUCCUUAAUUAGGUUUGCUUGAUGUACUAUAUAUUUAGGUGGAUGAAUAUCAAUUAGGGUCAAGCUCUGACCCUUUAAUCACACUUUUCACAAUACCUAUACCUUCUAAACCAACUCCUCUCUUCUGCUUGAUUCAUCAUCCCAAAGCUCUCCACGCUCAUCAUUUCCCUCAAAACUAGUUAUUAAUCCUCUUUGACAAAACCAUGGGCAACAUUUUCUCCGUCGAAAUCUCCGUUAACCACGCUAUCUCUAGUUGCUGGAAUCGCACUACUGAACAUGCAAAUUACCUGUGCAAACUCCCAGAAAAUCUGGUAGCUCUGGGAACUGCUUGUAAAAGAUUGGGGGAGUUCAGGAACGAUGUGAUGAGGAGGGUGGAUAUCGCUGAGAGGGAACAAAUGCAGCGGCUCGACCAAGUUCAAGGGUGGCUUUCAAGGGUCGAAAAUCUGGAAACUCAAGUCAGUCGACUCAUUGAAGAUGGCACGGAGGAGAUUGAGAAGAAAUGUCUCGGUGGUUGUUGUCCUAGGCGUUGCAGCACCAGAUACAAGUUGGGGAAGAGAGUGGCUAGAAAGUUGAAAGAAGUGGACAAUCUAAUGAGCCAAGGAUCUUUUGAUCUGGUGGCUGAGAGGUUACCUUCACCUCGCGUAGGUGAAAGGCCAAGUGAAGCAACUGUCGGCAUGGAUUCGAGGCUUGACAAGGUUCGGAGCAGCAUGGACGAAGAACGAGUGGGAAUUAUCGGCCUAUAUGGGUUAGGAGGUGUUGGAAAAACCACCCUCUUAACCCAAAUCAAUAAUGCUUUUACUAAAAGAACCCAUGAUUUUGAUUUUGUGAUCUGGUCAACAGUUUCCAAAAAUGUAAACCUUGGAAAAAUUCAGGAUGACAUUUGGAAGAAGAUAGGGUGUUGUGAUGAUAGAUGGAAAAGCAAAGAUCGAGAUGAGAAAGCUACGAGCAUCUGGAACGUCCUGACCGGAAAGAGGUUUGUGCUGUUGCUAGAUGAUGUUUGGGAGCGGCUGACUUUAUUAGACGUCGGGGUUCCACUCCAAAAUAAGAAAAAUAAGAUAGUAUUCACCACUCGAUCUGAAGAGGUGUGCGCUCAAAUGGAAGCUGAUAAGAGGAUCAAAGUGGAUUGCCUAACAAGGACCGAAUCCUGGGAUUUGUUUCGAAAGAAUCUUGGAGAAGACGCUCUCAAAUUCCAUCCUGAAAUACCCAAGCUAGCUCAGGUCGUUGCACAAGAGUGUUGCGGUUUGCCACUUGUGCUAACUACCAUGGGUAAGGCCAUGGCUUGUAAGAAGACGCCGCAGGAAUGGAAACAUGCAAUUAGAGUGUUCCAAAGCUCUGCCUCAAAAUUGCCAGGUAUUGGGGACAGAGUGUUUCCUCUUUUAAAAUACAGUUAUGAUUCCUUACCCACGGAAGUUGCCAGAUCUUGCUUCUUGUAUUGUUCUCUAUAUCCGGAAGAUGAUGAGAUGUCAAAAUCAAGUUUGAUAAACCGUUGGAUUUGUGAAGGCUUUUUAGAUGAAUUUGAUGACUGGGAGGGAGCAGAAAACCAGGGUUACAACAUUAUUGGCACUCUGAUUCAUGCAUGUCUAUUAGAAGAAGGUGAUGUUGAUUAUCAAGUAAAACUGCAUGAUGUAAUACGUGAUAUGGCAUUGUGGAUAGCUCGUGAAACUGGGAAGGAGCAGGACAAGUUCUUGGUGAAGGCCGGCAGUACGUUAACUGAAGCUCCUGAAGUUGCUGAAUGGAUGGGGCCAAAAAGGAUUUCACUUAUGAAUAACCAAAUCGAGAAACUAACAGGGUCUCCCAUUUGCCCCAAUCUCUCAACUUUGUUUCUUCGGGAAAAUAGUUUGAAGAUGAUCACUGAUAGUUUCUUCCAGUUUAUGCCAAAUCUAAGAGUUUUAGACUUGUCAGAUAAUAGCAUAACUGAAUUACCACAGGGAAUCUCUAAUUUGGUUUCACUACGAUAUCUCGACCUAUCACUCACUGAAAUAAAAGAGUUGCCAAUUGAGUUGAAGAACCUGGGUAACUUGAAAUGUUUGCUGUUGAGUGACAUGCCUCAACUUUCUUCAAUUCCAGAGCAGUUGAUAUCAAGUCUUUUGAUGUUGCAAGUGAUUGAUAUGUCCAACUGUGGAAUUUGUGAUGGUGAUGAAGCCUUGGUUGAGGAAUUGGAGUCCUUAAAGUACUUGCAUGAUUUAGGUGUCACUAUAACAAGUACCUCUGCUUUCAAAAGGCUUCUAAGCUCUGACAAGCUAAGAAGCUGCAUUUCCAGUGUAUGCCUCAGGAAUUUCAACGGUUCAAGCUCUCUCAAUUUAACAUCUCUCUGCAAUGUAAAGAAUCUCUGUGAGUUGUCUAUCUCAAACUGUGGCUCGUUGGAAAAUUUGGUGAUUGAUUGGGCUUGGGAAGGAAAGAAAACAACAGAAUCUAAUUACCUUAACUCAAAGGUCAGUUCCCACAACAGUUUCCACAGCCUUGAGGUGGUGGUCAUCGAAAGCUGUUCGAGGUUGAAGGACCUCACAUGGGUUGCUUUUGCUCCAAACCUUAAAGCGCUUACAAUAAUUGAUUGUGAUCAAAUGCAAGAAGUAAUAGGUACCGGUAAAUGUGGUGAAUCUGCAGAGAAUGGAGAAAACCUGAGUCCAUUUGUCAAACUCCAAGUACUUGAGUUAGAUGAUCUACCACAAUUGAAGAGCAUAUUUUGGAAAGCCCUGCCAUUUAUCUACUUAAAUACAAUCUAUGUAGAUAGUUGUCCACUUCUAAAGAAGCUGCCACUCAACGCCAACAGUGCCAAGGGACAUCGAAUUGUCAUUUCCGGACAAACCGAGUGGUGGAAUAAAGUAGAGUGGGAGGAUGAGGCAACUCACAACGCUUUUCUUCCAUGUUUCGUACCUAUUGAAGAAUAAGGGGCUGCAGCAAUCUCAGAGAGGCUACGAUGCGAUUCUCGGUGAGACCCUUUUCACAAUUAACUAUCAUUUGAUCAUGAAUAGGUAUUGAUCCAAAUAAAGCAUUCAAUUAUAGCAUCUUUCCAUGGUCGUAUACCUGCCACAUACUGAUAUACUUAAAAAAUGCUAUUCCAUUUCAAACACAUAAGGCAAUUGAUUGCAGGUUUACAAGGAGUCAUCUUGUUAUUGGAAUUCAAAAUCUACAACUUUUACGGUCAUGUUUAGUUAUUAGAAAAUAUUAAGGAAAGAAAAUAAAUAUUAAUGAAAAUAAUUUAUUUUUUGUAUUUGGUUAUAUUAUGAAAAAUAUAAAAAAAAUCAAAUAUAAAUAAAAUUAGUUUGAAAUUUACAAAUUUUCUAAAUUUUUUAAUUUUUAUAUCGAAAAGUUAAAAUAAAUAAAACAAAUUAGAAGUAGCGUAUAAAAGUAAUCUAUUAAUUUUAAAUUUUUUUUUAAUUUUUUUUUACUUUUUUUCCUUGCAUUUUUCCUUUUUAUUUUCUUUAUAUUACAAUUCUCUCAAAUUUUCCAAGAACUAAACAUAGCCUACAUAUAAUGAUCAAAUAUGAUCUUACAAACCAACCCAUAUAAAAAUUUAAGCCCAAUCUUGUGGCUUUUCUAAUUUGGUUUAAUAAGUCAAUGGUAUAUAUCCUUAUGCAAUCUUAUUUUGUUUAGUUGCAGAAUAUAACUUCAUAUGUCAGAAAUGCUUCCACGAUCUUCACUCAAUAAGAAUCCAUUGUUGUCCAAGGUUGAAGGAUAUGAAUGGCUUAUUUUCAUGCCAACUUUUUAGUAUGUUGAUGAAAUUAUAGACUGUCAAAAUAGAACAUAUAAUUACUUAUCUAUGUGAGGUAAACUGUUGGUUUAUGUAUGUUGUUUCAUAGUGUUUGUGUGAAUAUGUUGUUUCUCUUCGAAUUGCAAUAUUACAUUUUUUGUAUUCUAGGGAUUGUGAGUGCAUUUUAUGAUUUAUGUAAAAAAUUUGAGUUGGAUGGCUUUCUUUAAUUGCUCUACUUGAAUGGAAGAGCAUGUACAUGAUAUCUUUGCUUGGAAACAAUCUAGUGUAUAAUUUCAAAAAUAUAAUCCUAUUUUCAAAUAGAAAAGAUAGUUGAGUCAAGGUACUCCUGGACCAACUAGGAAUUGUAUCUUUGUUCGUGGAGAAACAAGCAUUCUUGAGAAAAAAAUCAAGUCCCUCUUUGUACAAAAAUUUUAAGGGAGAACUUGCCCAAGUCAUGGGUAGACCAUAAUUGGGGCACCUUAGCUAAUAAUGGUCCCAUUUGGUUCCCUAUCUAUGUUUAUCAAAUACACCUUUUCAUAAUUGUAAUGGGAAUGGAGUGUGGGAUUUAUACAAUGUUAAAGCAUGUAUUCCUUAAUUUUGCAAUAUGUUAAAGAGGAUGAAACAUUUUUAUUUGUUGCAAUUCAAGAGCAUGUACGAAAAUGCUCUCGCCUUGUGUUCAAAAUAGAAGAACUCAUUUAUCUUAUGUCCAUUAAACUUUUUUCAAAAUUUUGAGAAAGUGAAAAUUUUUCACUUCCUUAAAUUUUUAAUUUUUUUUUUAUGUAGUGUUUUCAAGUAUACAAGGUUUUUACUUGUUUUAGUAUAAUAAUUCUUAUAUUUUAUAUAAGACUUCCUAUUUAAAAAAUAGAAAAUAGAAUAUGUAUCCAAUCAUACACCUAAGUGAUUCUCUUAACAAAAGUACUAUAGAUAAAAAUACUUUAACGAGAAUCACUCCCAAAUGUGUUCUAAGUUAUAUUUUCUAAUGGACCAACUUUUCUAUCAAAAAUUUUUUUGAGUAGACAAUAAUUUAUAAUUAAAUGUAAAACAUUUUUACUCCAUGAUAAUUUUUAUUUAUCUUUUUCCCCUUUAAUAUCCACCUCUCAAUAUCUUGGUAUUUUAAACUAAGGAUAUAAUUUUAUUAGUUGUGCGCAUGACAUUGUCUUACAUAUCCAUGUAAGGUUUUUUCUAAAAUAAAUAAUUAAAAAUUUCAUUAUUAAAAAAAAAAAUAGAAUCAAUAAUAUCUUAUUUUUAUAUAAUACCAUAACUAACAAAUUUCUUACCAUUUUUAUGUUCAUAAAAAAGAAAUAAAUAAGUAAAUGUGUGAAACUAAUAAAAAUAAUUAUUGAUUUACGGUAAUUAUUUGGAAUAUAUUAAUAUUUAACUGAUGGAGCAUUAGCUUAGCUUAGCUAUCAAAUCACUUUUUUUUUUUUGUUUAUAUUCAAAUAGUAAGUUAUUCUAUUUGAAACUAUUUCUAAUGUAACCAGUAUUUAAAAUCACUUUUAAAAAUCUCAAGAAAUGACUUGAAGUGAUUUGUAAACAAUCACUUGAUAUGAUUUUCUUAAAAAUCAUUUUUUAAUACAAUAAUAUGUUACAAAAAAAAUUAUCAGAACAUCUUUUGUUCUUUUUUAAUUUAUAUAUAUCUAUUGUUUUGGAUAUACUUCCCAUCUAUAUGUAGGGACCCCUCCCUCUAAGAAACACGUGGCACGCAUCUCACAGUGACACGUGGCACGCAUCUCACAGUGACACGUGGCACGUGUUAUUAGCCGGACCAUCAUCAUCCGGAUUCCCCUAAGGAUAUGCAUGAUGCAGUUCUCCUAUCCGGACUGCCUCAAAGAAAGGCAAAUGACGUUUCAGCUUCUCCUAUCCAAGGAAGAGCAAACGACGCUGGCAGAGCAUAGACAUCCGGACAACCUUCAUAAUACAUCCGCUCCGCAAUACAUCCGGAUAAUCAGCAUGUGCCAUCCGGAUAUAUCAGCAUGUGCCAUCCGGAUAUAAUCGACCGGAUCAUCAAUUAAAGUAAAGCAAGUCUUACACGCUAUCACAACGAACAGCCAUGGCCCACAUCCUGUCACCUGCAGAGUGAGAAGACAAGAUGAAGUGACAGCAAGUCACUUCCCACGAUCAUUCUACAUGAUCACUUCCCAAGAUCUCUGACAGCCGCAUCACCUACCAUGGUUUCUGACAAGCCGCUCGUAGGGUGAUGAUGCUCUUGCUGACGCCUAUUAUCAUCAUAACAACAUAAAAUAUCUUCUCACCAUUAAUGAGAAGAACAGUACCCCUGAAGCUGUAUAUAUAUAAGCCUUCACACAAAGAGGAAGAAGAUCCCCUGGUAACCUCCUGAUACCUGGUAAAAGGCCAACUGAUUUAUAUCUCUCUCACCAUGGCUAAUAAAACCAUCGGAGGGUGCGUCCGGACACCCUGUCCGGAUGCCUUCUUGCAGGUAUAACGGCUGGAUCAAGAACCUUUAUGGGUUGAAAUCACGUGUCCAUCCAUCUGGCAAUUACGUGGAUCAUCAAAGACGCGAGGUAUCAACAUUGGCGCCGUUUGUGGGAAAGCUAUUUUUCGUUUGAUUCAGUCACUGGCAAAGAUGGCCACACCUUCCCGAAGCCAAUCCUCUGGUAGAGGAGAGGAAGAUAAUUUUGAAUGGCGUAAAGCCAUCAAAAGGAGGCAGUUGGCAAGUGAAAAACAACUGAAAGCUCUCCUCCAGGAGAUAGAGAGGUUAAGAGAAGAAAACGCUGUGUUACGCAUUCAGGCCUCAACGUCGGGACCUCCUCGUCGUCAGCGUUCGAGAGGCCAGGUGGCAAACUCUAGGCCAGAGUCAGAAUCAAUAUAUCCUGGGUCAGCAGGAGCUAUCCCAGGAGCAUGCAACGUGAGGCCUCAUGAGCCACGCACACCCUUGCCUCGAGCUCCCCGGGAGGAAAGCUUAGAUUCCACUCAUUUUUCAGCAAAGAGACAACGUGAUAAAAAAAAAAAAAACAGUUGUCAAGUUCAAUGCGCGCAAGACUAGGCCCACAACAGCCUAGGAGAUCAAGGCCACCAGUAGCCACAACUGGGGCACCACGCCCUGACCCGAGGAUCGCUCCCAUGAUGCAGAACGUACCUCCGCAUCGUGACCCCAUGGUCGCUCCCGCGAUGCGGAACGUUCACUCACACCUAGCGGAACGACCAACUGGGAGAAACCUCCCAAACGAGCCACCCAUUGGCUCCAUUAGCAAAAGGCUGGAUGACAUGCUCUCCACGCCCUUCUGCUCUCAUAUCAUUCAUUACGAGCCCCCAAGGGGAUUCCUCGUACCAAAAUUUUCCACAUACGAUGGAACCAACGAUCCCUUCGAUCACAUCCUGCACUAUCGACAGCUCAUGACGCUCGAUAUUGGCAACGAUGCACUACUAUGCAAAGUAUUUCCCGCCAGCCUACAAGGGCAGGCCCUCUCAUGAUUUCAUCGCCUACCUCCCAACUCUGUUGACAAUUUCAGGGACCCGUCUGAAGCUUUCGUGGGACAAUACUUGUGCUCCGCUCGACAAAAGUAGAAUAUCAGCACCCUCCAGAACAUAAAAAUGCGAGAUAACGAAUCCUUGAGGGAAUUUGUGAAACGAUUUGGCCAGGUCGUACUUCAAGUAGAGGCUUGCAGCAUGGACGCGGUCCUACAGAUCUUCAAACGAAGCAUCUGUCCAAGCACUCCAUUUUUCGAAUCACUGGCCAAAAAGCCUCCUACAACGAUGGACGAUUUGUUCAGACGUGCCAACAAAUAUUCAAUGCUCGAAGAUGACGUGUGUGCGGCCACUCAGCAAGUUUUGGUUGCCGGACAGGCAUCUAGAGGUGACGCGGAAAAAAAUGCUAAACCUCCGGAUCGACCAGGGUCAUCUGAUCGAAGGCAAGAAGGACCGAAUCGCCCGGAUAGGCCGCCUCUCACACCCCUCUCCAUAUCAUAUGAAAAACUUCUCCCAAUGAUCCAAGGCUUGUCCGACUUCAAGUGGCCUAAACCCAUCGGAACGGACCCAUCCACAAGGGAUCGUAGUAGGAGAUGUGUCUUCCACAAAGAUCAUGGCCAUACAACAGAGACAUGUCGCGCUCUCCAAUAUCUGGUUGAGAAGCUCAUCAAAGCAGGGCAUUUGAAGCAAUACUUUCGCACGGAUACUGGGGGUAGGGACGUUUCCCAGCACAACAACCCUGGAGCCCCUAGGGCCCCAGUUGCCCCCAAGGCCGUUAUCAACUAUAUUAACGGAGGACCAUCUGACGAGGAGUAUGACUCCAGGCGGAAAAGGCAGAAAUUGUUGCGGGCUGCAUCAAUACGCGAACGCAUUAAUUCCAUCCGGCCGGGUCUAACUGGAGAGGGCCCUCGCCCUAUAGAUGGGACAAUCAUCUUUCCACCAGUGGAUCCCACCCGGACACUGCAGCCACAUCGCGACGCCCUCAUCCUCUCCCUAGAGAUAGGAGAUUUCGAUGUAAGACGUAUCCUGGUCGACCCAGGCAGUUCGGCCGACCUGGUGCAAGCAUCAGUCGUUGGCCACAUGGGACAUAGUCUCGCGGGCCUUGAAAACCCCAGACGAAUCUUAUCCGGAUUCAACGGAUCAUCAACCACAUCCUUGGGAGAUAUCAUACUGCCGAUCCAAGCUGGCCCAGUCACCCUCAACGUACAGUUUUCAGUAGUGCAGGAGUUAUCACCCUUCAAUGUCAUUUUGGGGCGCACAUGGCUCCACUACAUGAAAGCUAUCCCCUCUACAUAUCAUCAAAUGGUGAGUUUUCUCACCAACGAUGGCCAAAUCGACCUAUAUGGCAGCCAAUUAGCCGCUCGCCAAUGCUAUCAAAUAGCACGGGAAGCAGGGGCCAACCAGGAGGAUGCAUCUCCCCCUGAACCCAACCAUACACAUGACCAAUAUCAAUUAUUGGGUCCGGCGGACAAAGAUCCUCCGGCAGCAGACCCCUUGCAAACAAUCCAAAUUUCGGAGGAAAACACUCACCUCACGAACAUCAGUUCCCUCAUGACACAAGAAGAAACUCAGAGCAUGCAAAAUAUUCUCAGACAAAACCAUGACAUCUUCGCAUGGACACAUUCUAAUAUGAAGGGAAUCCAUCCCUCUAUUGCCUCUCACAAGCUUAACGUCUUUUCAACUGCCAGACCCGUCCGGCAGAAGAUUAGACGCUUCCAUCCGGACAGACAAAAAGUCAUCCGGAAUGAGAUUGACAAAUUGCUAGAGGCCGGAUUCAUCAGAGAAGUAUCUUAUCCGAAUUGGUUGGCAAACGUAGUGGUGGUACCCAAAAAAGAAGGAAAAUGGCGAGUUUGUGUAGAUUACACCAAUCUCAACAAUGCAUGUCCAAAAGACAGUUUUCCCUUGCCACGAAUAGAUCAAAUUGUGGAUUCCACUUCCGGGCAAGGGAUGCUCUCUUUCUUGGAUGCCUUCUCCGGAUAUCAUCAAAUCCCCAUGUCCCCGGAUGAUGAAGAAAAGACAGCAUUCAUAACGCCACACGACCUCUAUUGCUAUAAAGUCAUGUCAUUCGGACUCAAAAAUGCUGGCGCCACUUAUCAGAGAUUGAUGACUAAAAUCUUCAAACCUCUGAUAGGCCACACGGUGGAGGUAUAUAUUGAUGAUAUCGUGGUUAAAAGCAAAACUCGAGAGCAGCAUGUCUUUCACUUACAAGAAGUUUUUCACCUCUUACGAAAGUAUGGCAUGAAGCUAAAUCCUUCUAAAUGCGCCUUUGGCGUAAGUGCUGGCAAAUUUCUGGGAUUCAUGGUCAGCCAAAGGGGCAUAGAAGUCAGCCCGGAUCAAGUCAAGGCAGUCAUGGAAACACCCCCUCCCAGGAACAAGAAGGAAUUGCAACGCCUCACAGGCAAGCUCGUUGCAUUAGGGCGUUUCAUAGCCCGCUUCACUGAUGAACUGCGACCCUUCUUCUUGGCAAUACGAAAAGCUGGAGCACACGGAUGGACAGACAGUUGCCAAAAUGCUUUCGAAAAUAUCAAGCAUUGUCUUACGCAACCACCCAUCUUGAGCAACCCCAUCCUAAAGAAAAAAUUGUAUAUGUAUCUGGCGGUAUCAGAAUGGGCAAUCAGCGCCGUUUUAUUUCGCUGCCCCUCACCCAAUGAGUAGAAACCUAUCUACUACUUCAGCAGGGCAUUGGCAGACGUAGAAACCAGAUAUUCAAAGAUGGAGCUAACAGCCUUAGCCCUUCGAAGCGCUGCCCAGAAGCUCCGCCCUUAUUUCCAAGCUCAUCCAGUGAUCGUACUAACUGACCAGCCCCUUCGCAACAUUCUGCACAAGCCAGAUUUAACCGGGAGAAUGCUGCAAUGGGCCAUCGAAUUAAGAGAAUUUGGAAUCGAAUUCCAACCCAGAUUGUCCAUGAAAGGUCAAGUAAUGGCUGACUUCGUUCUAGAAUAUUCCCGAAGACCCAGCCAACACCACGAAUCAAGUAAACAAGAAUGGUGGACUUUACGAGUUGACGAAGCCUCACGCUCAUCAGGCUCUGGAGUUGGGCUCCUACUACAGUCCCCAACUGGGGAACAUUUGGAGCAAGCCAUCCGGCUGGGAUUCUCUUCCUCUAACAAUGAAGCAGAAUAUGAGGCCAUCUUGUCCGUAUUGGAUCUCGCCCUUGCUCUAUCUGUCUCCAAACUCCGGAUCUACAACGACUCACAACUCGUGGUAAGGCAUGUCCAGAAGGAAUAUGAGGCUAAGGACGCACGCAUGGCGCGAUACUUAGCUAAAGUAAGAAGCACCUUGCAGCAAUUCACGGAAUGGACAAUAGAAAAAAUCAAGCGAACUGACAAUGGGCGCGCUGACGCCUUGGCGGGUAUAGCUGCCUCCCUCCCCAUCAAAGAAGCUAUUAUAUUGCCUAUACAUGUGCAAACCAACCCCUCUGUCACAGAAAUUUCCACCUGCAACACCAUUGAGGCAAACCAGGCGGACGAUCAAGAAUGGACGUACGACAUUGCAGAAUAUCUCCGGACAGGAACCCUACCCGGAGAUCCCAAACAGGCACACAAAAUCCGGGUGCAAGCUGCCCGUUUCACCUUAAUUGGGGGGCACUUGUACAAACGAUCCUUCACAGGACCUUACCUUCGGUGCCUAGGGCAGUCAGAGGCCCAGUAUGUGUUAGCUGAGUUACACGAAGGAAUAUGCGGGAAUCAUUCAGGAGGACGAUCCCUGGCACAUAGAGCUCAUUCGCAAGGAUACUAUUGGCCAACAAUGAAGAAAGACACGACAGCAUAUGUUAAAAAAUGUGAUAAAUGUCAACGGUAUGCUCCCAUUCCACAUAUGUCGUCAGCAACAUUGAAAACAGUCUCAGGCCCAUGGCCUUUUGCACAAUGGGGCAUGGAUAUAGUGGGACCCCUCCCAGCAGCACCUGCCCAGAAGAAAUUCCUCCUUGUGGCCACUGAUUACUUUAGUAAAUGGGUAGAAGCUGAAGCAUAUGCAAGCAUCAAAGACAAAGAUGUCACCAAGUUCGUAUGGAAGAACAUUGUUUGCCGUUUUGGAAUCCCCCAAACAAUCAUAGCUGACAAUGGCCCGUAAUUUGACAACAUUACAUUUAGGAAUUUCUGUUCGAAGCUAAACAUCCGGAAUUCAUACUCCACACCGCGCUAUCCUCAGAGCAACGGGCAAGCAGAAGCCACAAACAAGACCCUAAUCAAUGCCCUAAAGAAAAGGCUUGAGCAAGCUAAAGGGAAGUGGGUGGAGGAGCUACCCGGUGUCCUAUAGGCCUAUCGAACCAGACCCGGACGACCAACAGGAAACACUCUUUUUGCCCUCGCAUAUGGAAUGGAUGCAGUCAUUCCUACUGAAAUAGGUCUUCCUACUAUCCGGACUGACGCAGCAAAGCAAGAUGAUGCAAGCGCGGAAUUAGGGAGAAAUUUAGAUUGGGCAGAUGAAGUAAGGGAAAACGCGGCCAUCCGGAUGGCAGAUUAUCAACAAAGGGCAUCAGCACAUUACAAUCGCAAAGUGAGGCCAAGAAGCUUCAAAAAUGGUACGCUAGUCCUUAGAAAAGUUUUUGAAAACACUACUGAAGUAGGCGCAGGGAAGUUCCAGGCCAACUGGGAAAGACCCUAUAUAGUGUCUAAGGCAGGUGAAAAUGGAGCCUAUCAUUUACAAAAGUUAGACGGAACUCCAUUACUUAGACCUUGGAAUGUGUCUAAUUUAAAACAGUACUAUCAAUGAAAAAGUAAGACAAAGUACAAAUGGAAAAAGACAUAUUUUAUUGAUGUAUAUAAAUGUAUGUACAAAAAGGUCUCCGGACCGUAGAAAGUACAAAAAGAAGAUUAUAGCAAAAAGUUGCAAAAAGACAAAAGCUAUCAGGGAGCAGGCUUAAAGUUUCUUCUCUUCGCUCGGAGGAAUUGAAGGGACAUCUCGUUUUAUACCGUUCUUCUUCAUACAGCAACGAUAGCCGAAGAUGAAGGUAUCAUCCACUUGUUUUUGAUAAUCCGCUUCAAGUUCCUCCCUCUCUGCAGCAAACUCCCGUUCUAGCUCUUCUUUUUGCGCUGAUAAGCGCAGCUGCAAGUCUUCUUUUUGCUUCUUUUCAAUAGAAGCCUUUGUCCGGAGUUGCCUCACCUCCGCCCCCAUCCGGGCUAUCUCAUCCUCUGCCUCAUGCAGACGGGCAAUCGAUGAUUCCUCCCGGUCCUUAGCCUCAACCAAUUCCACCCGAAGGGCUUCAUUGUCCUCCCGAGCGGUGGAUAAGCUGGCUUCGGCCUCCACUAGUCUCAGGCGCAACUGGUCUUCAGUAUCUUUAUGCCGAGCGGCGAAGGCCUUCAUAUAAUCAGUGGUCCGCAGCAGGUCAGUGAAAAGAUCGUAUUGAUUGGCCAUGCCACGGAGACCACUCACCAGCUGCAGACAAACAGUCAAGCAAGAAAAGCAAAGUUAGAAAUCACACAUCAGAAUGACAAAAAAUCAAGAAGCACAAAAGCAGUUUAUCGUUUCCACUAUCUCGAACAUCUUGGCUGAAGGCGUGACAAGGGGCAAGUCGGGUGGAAUCUGUUUCAGCUUCUCUUCCAACUCCGAGUAGCUAAAAGGACUAGUAGAGGUGCAAGACGCAUCAUUAACAGGAUUCCUCUCCAAUGAGGCAAGAGAAGAUGACUCUUGUUCCGGAUUCGGGGCCUCAACAUUUACGACCGGAUGGGUCUCCCCUGGUGCAACCUCAGCCGGGACCAUCACAGGGAUGGCUGGAGGCUCAGUUGCCAUCUCCACUUCGCCCCCAUCCGGAUGAGCGUCGUGAGCAGAUGAGCAACUAACUUCGAUCUCUUGCUGACGAUCUUGAAGCCGCCCGAGGAGUCCGGACCUCAGAUUGCGCGCCGAGCGAGGCCUCUUUGAGGGUGGCCCCGUCACCAGAACAAGAGCCAGCCGGUCUGGAUCGUCAGAGGGCUGACUCUGGCUUUCUGCCCCCGCUUCCUCCAUGGGGGUCGCACAAACGGCUUCAGCUGCUUCAACAUCCGGGUUAAGGUUGCCCGGAUGAUUGAUGGACGCAGCUUCCUCAGCCACAUUAGCCAAACGGGCAACCGCGGCCAAAGAAGUGCUUGAGUGGUUCAGCCCCGCGACGUGUCCGGAUCCGCUUGAGAUGGAAUGGGGAGUAGGGUUCACUGGCUCCUCUAUCAUCACCUCCGCCUCGUGAGUGUUGGGCGGAGGAGCAAAUUCCUUGGGAGGAGUGGGCUCCUUCACUCCCUUCCCAUUCUUCUUCACCAGUUUCCUCUUUUUCGCUGGAGUUUUCUUUGGAGAAGAGUCUGCGUCGCAUUUCUGUCCGGGAGCCUUCCGAAGGGUUCCUUCGUUUUUCUUCUUCUCCCGAUUGUCCAGAAGCGCUCGGCGUUUUUCAGCAUCAGCCUCUUUUAACGCCUGGUAAAUCGGGAGAUCCUUCAUAGUAUAAUGCUCCCCAGGCACCACCUCCUUUGGCAUUUUCCUGGGGAGAAUGUUGACAACAUACUCUUGGGGCUCCCCGACGACCACCAUCAGGUUUCGCGCAAUGAGCAGCGUUUUGUAGUGCCUCUCCUUGGCGUCUAUCUCAAAUAGUUUGCUGAGACAAGCAAAAGACGCCUUUUCCACCCAGUCCACAAGGUGGCCCCUCAAUUCCGGACCUACAUUAACAGUAACAAAAGAUGAGAAUACCAUCCGGAAAAGUCAACAAAAAAUCAACAAAGUAAAAUCCGGACAAUAGUCGUAAAGCAAACCUACCCGGAACCACCAAGGAGUAGUUUGGAGAGAAAGGUCUCGCCGGAUGCUCCAAAAACCCCGCCCAUGCACCCCGGACCACCACGUGUCCCGUCGCCCCUCCCUUUAUCAAAUCUGGCAGCUCCGUCACCAAUUGAAGGGAGGGCAGGUGUGCGGACAUGCUGAAGAUGUCAUUUUUUACCUUUUUCAGAGAAUAAACAAAAAACACCUCCAGCAGCGUGAGGUCGAGGUUGUACAGCAUGUUUAUAAUGCUGCAUCCCAUCAGCACCCGGACGAUGUUGGGAUGAAUGAAAACGGGUGGAAUCUGGGUGAAAUGGAGGAACUCCUUGAACAAUGCUGGCAGAGGGAACCGGAGCCCUACGUUGAAUUGUUCCUUCGAGAAGAUGAUGGUUUUUUCUUCUGCUUUCUCAGAAGGCACAAGCACCCUCCCAUUCAGCAAUUCAAUAGCCACGCCAUUCGGGAUACAGAACCGUUCCCGGAAUUCCUUCGCAUCCAGCUUAUCUGUAGCUUUUUCACGAACCUCGCUAGCCCGGGAAGAUGAAACAGUCUUUUUUGCAGCCAUUUCUUACCACAAAGACAAACCAAAAUCUACAUACAAAGAAGCGCAAUGGGUAAAACACAAGUAACCCAGAAAAUACACAAACCCUAACCCAAAGCAGUCAGAAAAAAAACCCCCAAAGAACCCCAGAACACCAACAAAAUGCCAGCAUUCAAACAACAGACGCAAGCGACUUGCCCAAAACAAUGCCCAAACAAACCAGAAACCAAGUUCAAUCAACCAACAAACGCAACAAAAGGAACGACAAAAGCAAGAGUACACGUACCAAAUAAAGCUCUGAAGGAGAAAGGUUGCUGUCUCGAUACAAAAUCACGAGCAGCAAACGAAUGUCGCGAAUACAAAAUCACCGGUACAAAGAGCUUUCGAGUUCUUUACUCAGAGAAGCAAAGGACACAACAGAAGUGAGAAGAAGAAAGGCUCUCAGGAGAAUGCAGUAGGAAAAAAUGCAAAAAAAAGGUACAGUGCGCUAUUUAUAAGGGGAUAGCCCCUCGGAAAACCAAACGAACAGCUAUGCCAUCAUUGAAACGACAUAUUGCCUGGGGAUACACAGGGUCGGCGGCUCGUCAUAAAGGCCUUUUUUGGCUCCCGCACCCCCACUCGCCACGUGGCCCAGUCAGACGAAGAGACCUCUUCAGUUUUCAAAAAAAAUCAGUUAUUUUUUAGCCCGCCCAUUUUUUGGGCAAAAUAGGCAAGUUAAAAAGGGGGGCAAUGUAGGGACCCCUCCCUCUGAGAAACACGUGACACGCAUCUCACAGUGACACGUGGCACGUGUUAUUAGCCGGACCAUCAUCAUCCGGAUUCCCCUAAGGAUAUGCAUGAUGCAGUUCUCCUAUCCGGACCGCCUCAAAGAAAGGCAAAUGACGUUUCAGCUUCUCCUAUCCAAGGAAGAGCAAACGACGCUGGCAGAGCAUAGACAUCCGGACAACCUUCAUAAUACAUCCGCUCCGCAAUACAUCCGGAUAAUCAGCAUGUGCCAUCCGGAUAUAUCAGCAUGUGCCAUCCGGAUAUAAUCGACCGGAUCAUCAAUUAAAGUAAAACGAGUCUUACACGCUAUCACAACGAACAACCAUGGCCCACAUCCUGUCACCUGCAGAGUGAGAAGACAAGAUGAAGUGACAGCAAGUCACUUCCCACGAUCAUUCUACAUGAUCACUUCCCAAGAUCUAUGACAGUCGCAUCACCUACCAUGGUUUCUGACAAGCCGCUCGUAGGGUGAUGAUGCUCUUGCUGACGCCUAUUAUCAUCAUAACAACAUAAAAUAUCUCCUCACCAUUAAUGAGAAUAACAGUACCCCUGAAGCUGUAUAUAUAUAAGCCUUCACACAAAGAGGAAGAAGAUCCCCUGGUAACCUCCUGAUACCUGGUAAAAGGCCAACUGAUUUAUAUCUCUCUCUCACCAUGGCUAACAAAACCAUCUGAGGGUGCGUCCGGACACCCUGUCCGGAUGCCUUCUUGCAGGUAUAACGGCUGGAUCAAGAACCUUUAUGGGUUGAAAUCACGUGUCCAUCCAUCUGGCAAUUACGUGGAUCAUCAAAGACGCGAGGUAUCAACACUAUACAAAAUACAAGAACUCUAAUGCAUAAAACAAAAUAUCUAUCUUGUGUCUUUAAAACUUUUUUCAUAAUUUUGAAAAUUUUGAGAAAGAGAAUUUUUUUAAUCCUCAAAUUUUAAAAAAUAUUUUCAAGUAUAUAAGGUAUUUAUUUUUGUCUAAGAAUUUCUAUAUUUUAUAUGAGACUUUCUAUUUUAAAAACAAAAAUGAGAAAUGUAUCUAAACAUAUAAGUAAUUCUCUUUAAAUAUGUUUAUAAUGAAAUCGUAACUAACAAAAGUGUUGCAAAUAAAAAUACUUUAAGUAGAAUCAUUCCCAAUCGAGUUCAAAGUUAUAAGAAGUAUUUUUUAUUAAUAUUUCAGAUCACCAAAAGAAAUUAUAAGGGAUUGCAAUAUUACAAAAAAAAUUAAAAAUGAUUUUAGUUUAAGCUCUUCAUUUGCAGUCUUGUAAUCUCAUGCCCUAAAUUUUCCAAUUCAUCAAUUUCAUUGGUAAAAUUUUAUUAAAAUUAAUUAUUAUUAAAUAAAUUAAAUUUAAAACCUUUUCCAAAACCAUAUCCAUUUAAUUGCAAUAAAGCAAAACUUCCUUGUUAUCAUGGUAGAGUAAAGAGAAAAGAAUUGGUUUUAGAAAAGAAAAAUAUAAAGAAAAAGAAAAAUGUUCCAAAAACUCCUAAAAAUUCCAAAAUCCAAGGGUUGAGAUCCCAAAAUAUGGAAAAACUUUAUUCAACUGGAGUUGGAAUAGAACUCACUUGGAGUUGCAGUAAAACUUACUUUUGGUUGCAUAUCAUAAUUUCAGUUAAUCUCAUUUCUAAUCAACCCAAGUAACAAUUAAUGGGAAAAGAAAGUUUAGUAAGGGGGAACUCAUCUCUCUCUAUUAAAAAUAUCUUCAAGAUUUUAGUGCAUUCACGUAUCCUUUUAUUGCCUACCUGUAGACCCUCAAUUUUGUCCCUUUAGCGCAUGUCUUUAAAUUCGUUUUUAGUGCUCCACAGUAGUUCCUUGAUGGCCCAUGGCUACUCAUACCACUUACCUUUUUCUGAGUCACCUUGGAGACUUUGGUUGAGGGAUUAUUUGAUCCCUUAUUGUGACCCUUGGCAGCCCUAACUUAGACUUAGGCUUUUUUUUUUUUUUUAGGAUAGCUUUUAGAUACACUUGGCCCAUUAGGCACCAUCCUAGGCCUACUUAGUCUCACCUUAGGCCCGUUUAGGCACACUAGGCCUACGAAGACUUUUAUUUUAUUUUAUUUAUUUUGUUUUUAGUUUUAAUUUUAUGAUUAUCAUUCACUUUUUAUUGGUUAUCUUCCUCUUUAUAUUAUUUUCCUUAACUUAUUUAUUUAUUUAUUAUUUUGACCAUUUUUUAAUUUAUUUACUUAUUCAUCUAUUCAUGCAAUUAUUUAACUUCAAAAAUUUCAUGUUUUUUGCAAGGAAACUUACCAUUGGAGUUUAAGGAAGGCGGGACUUUCCUUGGAAGGUUUUGGAGGGGAAUUUGAAAUUGGGAAGAUUGCUUUUGAUUGGAAGAUUUAAAAAAAGAGAAGAGAAGAAGAAAGGAAAUAGGAGAAUUCUCCUUUUUGGAAACAAAUUUAGGUCUUGAGGGGUGAUAUAUAAAGGAGAGAUCUUGAAAAAAGAAAGCGCAGAGAGAAGAGCAGAAAGAGAGGGAGAUUGGAGGCAAGAUUGCCCAGGUACGUUUCUGGUUACUUUUGGUGUUCUUAUUCAUACUCGAUUCCUCCAUUUGAUGAUUUCUGAAUAUUCAAUAUAUUAUUGGUUGGUGUGGACGGAAAGGGCCACAAAUUGCUGUGUUGAAAUUAGAUCUUUGUCUGUUUGAUAUGUUCAUCAUUCUGUUAAUGUCAUCGAUCCCGCCUGAAAAUAAAUUGCAUACAUGUCCAUCUUCAGACUGGAUGGUAGAAAUCACGUCCUGUUUUUAUUCAAAUCUUAUUCUGAAAUCACUCCCCUGUUCUAAGCUAAUGGAUUGAAAUGCGAAAUUGUGACUUUUGUUGAUCAUCUUUCCUCUCUUUCUAUACGUUUUUGUUGUCUUCUUCUAUUUUUGGUCCAUACCUCAACAAGCUCUAUUCCUGGCCUUCAAGAUUUGUUCUCUGCUUCGGAGUUAAAAAUUAAAAAUCAUGGGAAAAGGGACACUCUGCUUUUUCUGCAUUCGGAUAAGCAUAAAGUGGUGCUCGAAAUCAUGGACUUCUCUAAGCCUUCUGGUACUGUCGUUGUGAUUCUAAAAUCUAAAAGUCAAAUACAACCUGGGCCAUUCACCUUCAGUAACAGCUCUAAUCAGUUCUACAGAGGAGUGUGUGAUUCUGAAAGCAAGGAAAAAGUUGACAGCGUUGGUUCAAAAAUUUUGGGGAUUAUGGAAAGAGAUGAGAAAUAAUGAGGAGAUACGAUUGGGGUUGAGAUUCUGGAUCUUUAAGGAAAAAUGUCAUGGGGAAUGGAAGCUGGCAAUGUUCUUACACUAUUUCUACGGCUUCAGCCAUUGGUAGCUGUCAUGGGUUAGGAUCUAGUGGCAGGCAAAAUAGCAGAAAGAAAGAAAUUGAUGCAGCUUCUGUUGAUAAGUGAGUCCCAAAUGCUCCGGUUGGAAGAAUGUUCUCUAUAUGUUAAUUAAUCAGAUGAGUCAGUCAUGGAAUUCAAAAUCCUCAUUGCUGCUGUCUGGAAGAAAAACUAUGGCAAUUAGAGAAGACAAUCAGUUCGACCCUUUUGUUGAAGAUUUUGUUUUGGAAAGACUUCCUGUUCAAAUUUCUCUGCGGAUAUUGUUCGAUGUAGUCCCUAACAUUAGAUUUCAAAAUGUUAUUGAACUGAUAAGUGUGCAGUCAGUUGCUUCUAAUCUAGCAUUCUUGAAGAGAAUAUGCAUGGUGAUGUUUUUAUGAUGCUUUAAAUCAGAAUCCCAAGAGAUCAAAGUGGAAGGGAUCGGAUUGAAGGAAUUUCAACAACCGCUGACUUCUUGAAGCCCAGCUUGACUGUGCCCAGUCCGUACAAGAAGUCUGACUUGUCUUAUCUGGUUGGUUCAUCUGGAGAUUAAAGUUUGAACAGCUUUGGGACAAUGUUGCGUUUCUAGAGAACCCGCAUGCUAGGCAGAAUUCGGUUGAUGAUGUUCUACAUAAUAAGCAACAGGGGAAUGGUUUGGACAGAAGCAAUUUUCUUUCUAAAAAGUUCAGUUGCUACUUCACAAAGUAAUUUGCAAGUGCUGGCGAGCAAAUGUCUCGCUGCCUAAUAUACUGAGAUGAUAUUGUUCCUAAAGAUGCGAAUGCAGCUGUGGCCAUCUAUCCAGCAGUUUGUUUGCAGCAAGGACUCGAAUGAACUAUGGUUCUGGUGCCAAAGUAUACUAGAAGUUGCAGAGAAGUUAUGUGGAUCUUUGCUUGUUCAUCAUCCUGAAGCACUCCUGAUGAAUACGUAUUCAGGCAACUGGAAACGUGCUUAUAUGGCUUUGUAGCAUCUUGUUGAAUGUCUUACUUCUACUCAUGCUCCUAAGCAAAGACAUUCCACUGCAAAGUCUAUCCACAUUAUCCCACAAAUUCAACUGUCAAAUUAUUUUGAAAGACAUCUCUCAAAAGCAUCAGCUAACAAAGGAUUUCCAUGGAGUAGAGAGGAUACUCUAGUCACAUCGUCUUCACAGUGAAAGAAAGGUCCAAUCUAAUCUUCAUACUAUUCAGAGUCUGAUGCUCUCAAGAAUACGUUAUCUUCAUCUUCUACAAAAUCUGAACUCAAAUAACUUUGUUGAAUCACUCGAGAGGUCCUAUGAAUUGGCAGCCAUGAUUAGCUCAGUGAAUAUGUAAAUUCCUGUGAUUAUCAAUCUUCUUAAUGAAGUCAACAAUCCCCACUCUGCUUCUGCCUAUGGGAGUCUCGAUUGAACCUGACUGCAGAUUCUGAGUUGCAGCAAGACUUCAACAACUUUAUUUUACCCGAAGUUUUGGUAGGCUGACAUCUGCAAAUGAGUUGGUUGUUGACUCUGGUCUGAUUACACGAACCUUUCUCUCUGAUUGUCAAGUAAAUUUAUUUGGUCCUAUUCUAUCCAAUGAUCCAUCUUGGCAAGAGAUGCGGACUCUGGUUGUUGGGAGAACAUGGGUGUAAUAUUCAGCAGUGAGGCCAGGGAUGGCGAAUGAGCAAUCCGGGAAGGAGAUCCAACCAUAUGGAGACAUUCAGUUGACACCUUUAGUUGACUACUACAGUUUCAUAACCUAGAAGACUGAUGCUCGCAAGGCAGGUAAGUUCAGUUGGGAACCGGAAUCAACCAUUCUGACCUUCAGAGAAGUAAAUUUGAAAGUACAACAGGGCCAUAAAAUAACGAUUUGCGGAUGAGUUGUGACAGGGAAAUCAUCACUCCUACAUGUUAUACUUGAAGAAAUUUAAAUGACAUAUUGAUCAAGUUUCAAUUCAGUCAGCUUGUCAUUAUCGGCAAUUCUAUGAUAGUUUGUUGAAAAUCGCAUUUCAAGUUUAAUGAUAUUGAUGGUGCUAUUGAGCAUGUUAAUAACUUUGCAGCCUCUGACGAAAGUCUCAUAAUUUAAUUCAUUGGGAAUGAAUUGCUGCAUAUUUAUACUCUGUCAAGGAUGAUAGAGAACGGUAUCCCACAUACUAAAAGAACUCAAGUUGGUAAGAAAGAGGUUGUCAAACGAAGUCAACCAGGGCAACGCCAGGACUUCACUAAAUUUCAAGCUGAAAUCAAGGUCUUAUCCAAAAUUCGCCACCGCCAUCUGGUUCUCCUUGAUUGGAUACUGUGAUGAAAGGCUUGAGAUUUGCAUUGGUUCUGCAUGCGGUACUAAUCACCUUCACACUGGUUCUGAUGGGGGAAUCAUUCAUUGGGAUUUUAAAUCAACAAACAUGUUGCUUCAUGAGAAUUAUAUGGUCAAAGUUUCUGAUUUUGGUCUUUCAAAAAUUAGACACUUCAAAUAAAUCUUGUAUCAGUACAAAUGUAAAGGGCAGUUUUGGUUACCUCGAUCCAAUUUCAUAUCUCCCAUGUGUCAGUUCUGGUCCAUACAGUAUAGAAAAUUCCCGAAUUUGUCACUCAUGCAGACCUAAUUGUGAAACAAAAAUUACUGCUGUAGAAGGUCAGUACCAGAUUGGAACCUACACUGUAUGUCAAAUUCAGUAUGGUGAGGAGAUCACCUUUGAUUAUAACUCAGCCACUGAGAACUGAGCAAGAAGAGACUCGAGAUUUGACAACUGCUAUCCAGGAGCAAGCACCUAAAGGCUUGGGUUUGAAAUCAACUGAGUAGUCAGAGAAUCCUAUCCAAAACAAGCAUCCUAGAAACUCAUUAAUGACAGAAAGCGGUGCUGAUAAGAAUCCAGAAUUAAAUGAGAAGCUACAGGGUGCAUCAGGGGUUUUGUUGGGGAGUCAGGCCACUGCCAGUAGAAGUGAGCAAGAGAAAGAACUGACAACCGCUGCCCAGCAGAAAGCAUGGGAAAUCCGUAAUUCUGGCGUUUUAAUUGAUAUGGAUCUCGACUUAACUGAGGGAUCUCAUUAUCUUGCCCAAAACAAGAUCCCAACAAGCUCACCAAUAACACACGACAGUGCUGGUCAAGAUUCGGCUAAUGAUGUUUCACAUAAUAAACAAAAGGGGAAUGGUCUGGAUAGAAGCAAACUCCCUCUCGAGAGUUCCUAUCUGAAAUUGUUCCAGUUGGUCAAUCACACGCUGUUGUUCCAUGCUCAAAUACAGAUGACAACAGCCAGUUGUUUCUGUAAGAUAUGUCAAUUUGCAACAAAGGUGCAAACUCAGCAGAUAUAAAUGUGCAUGAGACUAAGCUUGAAUCAACAUAUUUAUAUAUACAGAUGGAAUACUGUCCGGUGGUCAAAGAUUGAUGAGAAGGCUGACAUGUACAGCUUUGGGAGUUGUAUUCUUUGAACUAUGGCACUCGUUUGGAACAGUAAUGGAGAGAAGCAUCGUUCUUAAUAAUCUGAAAUAGGAGGGAGAUCUCCCUUCUUCUUGGGUUGCUGAAUUUCCUGAACAAGCAUCCCUUUUGCAGCACUUGAUGUCUCCAAGUCCAUCUGACCGUCCAACUUUGAGCCUUUUAUGUGAUGAUCCCGGUUCAUAGAACAAGGAAAAUUCUGAAGCUUGCUGAUUAAUUGUGGAAAAAUCAGGGAUUGAAGUUCCACUCGGGCUACUGCCAUGAUUUAAUCUCACCCAGUCUUCUGAAGUAAUGUCUAUUGUUCUACAUAAUACCUUGGUCUACAGAAGGCUUCACUCAACAUCAGCCUGCCCCACCAGUCAUUAGUAUUGUGAAGAACUGGACAUACUCCACUUACAACUGAUUCGUGGCAGAAACAGAGUAAGAAGAAGGGGGAAGGGAAAGAGCAAGACACACGACAAACUGGAGCUUCGAGGUUGCAUGAUUAAUUUCUAGAGAUACUUGAGAAGCAGAUGAAUUUUGGCUUCAGCAAAAGAAAACCAAGAACUUGAAAAUCGAGUUACAGCCAAAUCAAAUGCUAUCAAGCAUAUUGAUCUCAAAGCAAUGGGGUUCAGGACAGCAAAAGGACUCUAUACCUGUGGAAAUUGAAACUGAUCUAGCUGCCUAUCACAUCAAGGGUAUCCUUAGUUUGCUCUUGAUGAAUAAAUAGGAAGCACAUAUCGACUUUGUUUGUUUGUCCAGCUAAGAGACCAAUUGAUGCAGAAUUCUGGAACUGUUAUGGAAUUAGUAGAGCUUUUAAUAGAAAUACAGAUCAAACGCCAUCAUUAAAGAUGAAAACCAAGUUCAGUGCAGAUUGUUUAAGAUGGUCUCCGUGUGUGUCAGAAGUUAAGUACAGUAUCCAAGCAUUCUUGCUCUCCAUUGGAAUCCCUCAGCAAACAGCAGAAUUUGAAUCAUGUAUUCGAAGUAGUCAGGAUGUCUCUCCAAGUAACGAAGUCUUCACACAGGAAGCUUAAGUAUGCAGAAAAUGGUUUAUUUGACCACAGACCGCAUGAAUCGAACUCUAUUAUGGCAGAUUGAGGUAAAAGUUGAAAGGCUUAACCAAUUGAAAGCUGGCAAAAUACAGGGAACCUCUCAAUGCAGAAAAUUGGAAAUUCUAAACCUUCUAUUCAGUAUUUGGCUUAUGUUGUGAAGAACUCCAUUUCAGCAAUCUACAGAAGCAUCCCCAGGCGACCCAAGUAAUUCAGUCACAAAAGCAGCCUAGACACUAAUCCAACUUGGCCGCCUUGCCACAUACCAUACUCCUCCUAUUGUUUCUUCUUCUUUUUUAUGAUCUUAUACGUCUUAAAGCCGAAUUUCAAAACCUUUUUCUAUCAAAAAUGAAUUUGGUUUUCUCUAAGGUUCCUUAGAAGCAUUUAGGUACAAAAUCCAGAUUUUAACAUGCAAUUUGCUGCCACUUUAUUUCGGGUAUGCACGUUCACUGUUUUCUUUGAUUUUUAACUAUUUUCUUGAUUUUUCUUGAUUUUCAACAAGCAUGAAUAAACUUCAUGAUUCCAAACAAUGGAAUUCAUUGAAUCGACUCAUGCAAAAUCAACUUGGACCUUGGUGGGGGGUCCUACAUUCUCGAUAUCUUCACUAAUAUUGAUUUUAAAGAUGAUUGUUUGGUAUUUAAUUGAUUUUGAUUCCUUUUAGAGAAAUGUUUGAAUUUGUUUUAUAUUUGCUAUUGGGCUAACCUUGCUUCCCAUAAAGGCGCUACUAGCUUGCUAUCCAGGUACUCUUCUUCUCAUUUUUUGAGAAUUCCAUGGACACAUGUGUUAUUGAUGACUAUAUCCAUACAUGAUGUGGUUUUUGGAUGUCUUGAUAUAUGCCUGAUUUGCUUGAAUAAAACAAAUGUUGUGUGCUACAUUUCUACACUAACUUUUUUGUUUUAUGAUAGCGCUUGAAGAGCGGUUCAGGUACGCACCUUAACUCUCCUUUAUCGCAAUUUGAUUGUGUUUGGCAUGCCACUCUCUAAAAUCACCUAGCCUAUGUAGGUAUCUAUAAUUAAUGGAUUAAUUGCCACACUUCCCUUAACUUUGUCAGUAGAGACCUUUUUAGGGCUUAGAGGGGUGCUACCUCCUAGAGGUACCUUCCCAAUAAGUAACCUGAUCCCCGGACCUAGACUCGGGUUUCUCAAAGACAUGCUUUUUCCAAAACUAUGGAGUCACUUUUUAGGGUUUUUCUUUCUUGUUUUAUUUUCCCUUUAAAAUAAAAAUAAAAUAGGUGGCGACUCCAACUUUUUUUAAAAAAUUAAUUUUUCACAAAUAAAAAGCGAGUCUCGCCGAUCGAGUGGGGACGCACGUGAAAAAUGCGGGUCCACACUACCCAAUAAUAAAGAUCAUUUUUUAAAAGUUUUCUCACUACUUUUACUAAUAUUAGUUGUCCAAAUAUUUUAACUUUAGGGUCAUGGUAUAUUCUAUUUAAUAAUACUUGUAUUUUUAAUAAGUAUUCAACACAUCUACAUUUAUUCUACCACAUUAGCAUUAAUAUAGUAUAACUGUUCAUUCAUUUUUUGUCAUCUCAAUACUUCUAUAAAGGAAGAAAAAAAAUGUUAUUUGGAUUUGAAAAUAAUUAAUAAAAGCUUUAAAUUAUUAGAAAAAUGAAUUACAACAAUUCUUUUAUAAUAAAAUAACUUAAUUAUCAAUUUAUUUAUUUUCAAUUAAUUAAAUUUCAAUAAAGUGCAUAGUAUAAAUAAAUUAUUAUACCACAUUAGUAAUUAUUAUUAUAACACCUCAGCAAACUUAGAAUACCAAAGAUAUUGAAUAUAUUCUCCUUGAUAAUUUCAUGUAUUAUUGAUGUAAUUGCAAUAAUUUAUCAAAAAUUUUUUUCAGGUUUUAGGUGAUUAUGGAUGUGUACAUAAUUCUUAUAUUUUUAUUUUAAAAUUUCAAAAUUUACGAUUUUUUCCAUAAGAAAAUCUCGAGUGGACAAUGAAUUGUAAUUAAAUUAAAAACAUUCUUACUCCAUGAUAAUUUUUAUUUAUUUAUUUAUUUUUUCUUUUCUAACAUACAUAUCUCAACAUCUUGAUAUUUUAAACUAAGGAUCUAACACCUGAUCCAUAUAAGAUUUUUUUCUAAAACAAAUUAUUAAAAAUCCUGAUUAAAAGUAGAAUAAAUAAUAUCUUUUUUUCAAAUAUUACUUGAAUAAACUAAUUUCUUACCAAUUUUAUAAUUAUAAAAAUGAAAUAAAUAAAGAAGUAAAUCUAAGGAGAGCGGAUAUAGGAAAUGUUAAUCAUAUGAACAUUCUUGUCUAUUAUGGUAAUUAUAUUAUGAAAUAUGAACUUCUUUAUCAAGUCUACCUAUAUUGAUUGUAAUUCCUUAUGGUCAAGUUUACCCAAUUAAAAGUUUAACUACUUAAAAAGGAAAACUCGUGAAUUUUAUAGAUGUAAAGGUAAGGAGACAAAAUCUUAAUAACACAAACAUUCUCUCACUUAAACUUAGUUAUUAUGGUAAUUAUAUUAUGAAAUAUGAUCUUUUGUAAUGAAUUGUAAUGAAUUAAAAAUUUGUUAUUAAAAAAAAAUUGUUAAUUGUAUCCCUUAAAUCUCUUAACACAUCCACCUAUUUUCUAUUUUGCAAAAAUAAAUUUUAUAUUUAAAAUCCCUAAAACACCCUUUUCUUCAACAUUACCAUAUUCAUACAUAAACCCUAACUCUUAACACCCUCUUCUUCAACAUUACCAUAUUCAUGCAUAAACCCUAACUCUAUUUCAUCUUCUUUUCCUUUCCUUUCCUUAUUCUUCUUCCCUUCCUUUCCUCCUCAUCUUCUUCUUCAAUUUUUAUUUUUUAAAAUUUUUUUAUUCAUUUAUUUUCUCACUUUUAAACAAAACCAUUGCCAGUGAAAGGUGGCGCUGCCCAACCCCACAACCACCCCCCCAAGCACCUGAGUUUGUCAAAUGGACGUCCACAGAAAGGAUUUCACUGAUGGGCAAUCGAAUUGAGAAGUUAACAGGAUCGCCCACAUGCCCCAAUCUCUCAACACUUCUUCUGGAUUUUAAUACCGAUUUGAAAAUGAUAAGCAACGGUUUUUUCCAAUUUAUGCCCAGUCCAAGAGUAUUGAGCUUAUCAAAUACCAAAAUAGUUGAGUUACCAUUAGAUAUUUCUAAUUUGUUUUCUUUGCAAUAUCUUGAUUUAUCUAAGACAGAGAUAAAGAAGUUAUCAGUUGAGAUAAAGAAUCUCAUCAAAUUGAAGAGUUUGAAAUUGAAUAAUACAUCUAAACUGUCUUCAAUUCCAGGAUGACUAAUAUGAUCAAGUCUUUCAAUGCUGCAAAUGGUUCACAUGUACCGAUGUGGACUUUAUGAAUCAGAUGGUUAUGAGUCCUUGAAAGAGGAAUUGGACAGUUUGAAAUACUUGGCCCAAUUGCAUAUCAUCAUAGCAAGUGUCUCUGUGUUCCAGAGAUCUUUAAGUUUAAGAAAGUUGCCGAGUUGGACUCAUGGAAUCUGCCUCCGGAUUUUCAAAGAUUCAAGCUCACUCGAUGUAUCAUCUCUCAAAAAUAUAAAGCUUCUCACUUGGCUUGCGAUAGAUAGAUUUUGAUAGUUUGAGAGAGAUUAAGUUUGAUUGGGCAGGGAAAGGAGAGGAAACAGUGGAGUAUAGGAAUCUCAACCCAGAGGUCAAAUGCUUCCAUGGCCUUGGCUCUGUGUACAUCUGUAAAUGCCAGAUGUUGAAGAAUAUGACGUGGCAUAUUUUUGCCCCAAACCUCAAAUAUCUUGCAAUAGGAGAAUGUGAUGAAAUAGUAGAAGUGAUAGCGAAAGGUGCAGAGGAUGGAGGAAAUCUGAGCCCGUUCACAAAACUCUUAUAUCUAACCUUAUUUGAUUUACGACAACUGAAGAGUGUGCACUGGAAUCCCUUGCCCUUUCUUUACCUAGAGAGAAUUGAAGUAGAUGGGUGUCCGAAGCUGAAGAAGCUACCACUCAACUCCAACAGUGCCAAGGAACGUAGAGUUGUGAUUACAGGAAAGCAGUUGUGGUGGAAUGAGUUAGAAUGGGAGGAUGAAGCUACUCUAAAUACUUUCCUUCCCUGUUUCCAAGCAAGAUAAGAAUAGGGGGCUAAGGUAUGAUUCCAAUUAAAAUCAAACCAAAUAUGAUAGGAAUGUGUAUUAUUCUUUAAUUCACUCUCUAAUCAGUCACUUUUCAUUUUCAGGAUUUGAAGGAAUAAUAAAUAUUUAGGUGUUUGUUGUGGACGUGAGGUAAUGCCUUGAAUGUUCAUAACUUGGUACUAAUGGUUUUAAUAUUCCAUUUUUCUUUUUCAGGACUUCCUUUUUUGGUAAUUAAUAUUUAUGGAACUGAUUGAGAUUGUACUUUCAAGUUUUUGUUGUGCUUAAUCUUCAUUUCAGGGAUUUCUAGUUUCGACUCAUGCUUCUCUUUAGAAUUUUAUUUUUAUAUUUUCAACAUGUUUAUUUAAGUUCCAAAUCCAAUUAUGAUGAGAAAAUAUUCAAUUUUAAAAUCCAUUUCCAUAUAUUAUGAUUAAUUAAUAGAUGUAAUUAAAACCUUUACAUCUGUUAAAUAGGGUAUUAUUUAACACUAAAACCUUUUUUUUAGUGUUUUAUAAAAAUAUGGGUGUUCAGAAAGUUGUUUUUUAAAUCAUUUUUAAAAAUAAAAAAAUAAAAAUUUGUUUGGAUAAAUUGUUUUUAAAAUAUUUUUUAUUUUACAAAAAGAUUAUAAAUUCAAUUUAUAUAAUAGAAAUUUAAUUUAAUUUAAGUCUUAUUGAAAUGAAAAUAUUUUUUAAUUACAAAUAAAUUUAAAAAUAAAUAGUUUUUAAGAAAAUAUGAAUAGUAAUGAUACAAUAAAAUUAUUAAUUUUAUUUUUUAUAAAUAAAUAUUAUUUUAGUAUAUACUAGAAACAUAAGGAUAUUAACAUCCUCAUAAAUAUUUUUUUAUUAAAAAUAAAUGAUAAUAGUUUAAAAAUAAUAAUCAUUAAUAAUUUUUAUUUUAAAUAAAUAAUGAAUAAAGUUUUAACAUAUAUAUGAAUCAAUUUUUUCAUUAUAUGCACACAUAUAGUACCUAAUUAUGAAUAUAAUAUUUUAAAAUCUCCAUCACCUCAUUUGAGGUUUUGAACUUUAUGAGAAAUUCAAAUCAUCAACAAUAGAAUUGCUCUUUCAAUAUCAAAGGCUCCUUUUGGCGUCAAUACACCGCCAGUUAGUUAUUGAAACAACACGUUGAUACACAUAUCUAAGUCUUAUAUAUUGGAAUUUACCAUUUACACAUUUACACAUUUUCUAUCUCAAACCGUUAGUGAAAGAUACAGGGCAAAUCUGCAUUCAAAUGAUCCGAGCCUGUCAUGUACAAUCCAAGCUCAAAAGUCAAGCUUAAUUCACACAAAAAAGCUGGUCAGCGCACCAAGCUCAAGAGCAAUGAUAAGACUGCCAUUUACCAACCUGACAGAAGCUUGAUAUCUCACAUGGAGAACUUACAAGGUGGGUAAGCAUUUGUUAAUUGAAACCAAUCAAUCCUGAUGUAGAAGAUGGACAUCUCACAUGAAGGGCAUAAGGUGAAUCCCUAGGAUCCUGUUGAGCAAGUUGGACUACACUCCAAUCAAGAGCUAAGAUCUUACUAUACCAAUUUAGGUUAUCCUGAUCACAUGUUAGUGGAGGAAGUGUCGUUGAUUUCCAUUUACAUAACUUUGAUUUAGUAGUUUUGGUCUAAUUGGGGUGUAAUAUACAUUAUACAAUGGGGAGAGGGAGUGCGAUGAGGUAGUAAAAACAGGCCACAACUUGUGAAAAAGGGUCCAAAGUGGAACCCCUUUUUAAGGCUUUUAAUCCUCUGCAGCUCUGUUGAAAUACUAUAACCCAGAUUACUGGUACACAAGCGUGACCAAAAACCAUCAUUUCUGGUGGAUUAUUCCUACCCUUCAUUGAGGGAAGUCUAACCCUGCAGACAAAUGCAAUCUAGAUGGCUGAUUUUCUAGCUUCCAUUAAUGGGGAGAUUUUCUCUCAACAUUCACUGACCGUUCUAAGUGGGUAAAAAUGAGAAGUUAAGAGGCAACCUACAUGAUGAAUUAGUCAUACAGAACAUGAGUCCAGAGAUAUUCUCAAGUACUUUGGGGUCCUUUAGGACAUGGAAACUACUUGAGAAAGGAAAAUAAAAAAUAAAAAUAAAAAUUAUGAAGGAACCUGUAUUCUCUUGCUUGGUUUGCUAAGGAAAAUUUUGCUUUCCCUUUUUCAUCCUUAUUUUCUUAUUCUCAUACUUCCCCUCAAACUUUUCAUGAUCUAAACAGAAGUUUGACAUAUUUAAGAAGCUACCUGACAAGUAUUUCCUUCCACAAUUGUUUAUUCAACCAAUGAGGCACUUGUUCCAUUACUCAAUUCUCAAUCUAGUUUCCCUUACACUAACCCUCAAGAAACAAAAUAACACUAAGCGGGGGUUAUUUUUCAAUAUAAAAAUUCUCUACCAAGAUAUCAGACGUCUAUGAAUUGAAAAUUUAGAACAAUAUUUUCCAAAUCACCCGUGGGGAUCCAUGAUAAGAUAAAUUAGUUACAUUCUCAUGCUUCUUUACGAACCUUUUUCAACAGACCGAGCCCAGUUAAUGGUUGAUCUGGCCAAAGCAUCCAUCAGAUCAAUACAUUUCCUAAGCAGAGGAUCAUCCCGAGGCAAAAGAUCACGCAUGUCAUCAGAGGCAAGGAUGACAGUGUUCACAGCCCUCGCCAGAAGAACUUGCAUUGCAAUUCUUAGCAGAUUCCUUGCCACUUCCAUGUCCUUUCGAUUUAAAGAUUCAAUUGCAGAAAUUACAGUGUGUUCCAUUGUUGCUUCAUCUGGAACAACAACCUCAAACCCCUGCAAUUAAAAGCAUCUUUCAGAACUUCAGAACUCCCAUAGAUUCAUAUGGAACAUCACUAUAUAUAUAUAAGCAUGCACUUCAAGGCAGUGUAUGUGAAACACGAUCAGGAGUGUGAGACUGUAAUGACACACGGAAUUCCAAAUCCUAUCAUUAUAUAAUAAUAUAAUAUAUUAAUUUCAUCAUUAUUUUAUCCAUCAUGUGUAGGUGGGACCCAGCUCCGCCCAAAACUGCAAUCCUAUCACAGUUGGCAAAACAUUUUGAAAUUCGCUUUUGAGCUCUGUUUUAAUUUCAGUAAACAGUUACAACCAGAAAUACCAAAAGGAAACAGAAUACAAGUAAGAUGGUAUUUCUGGGGGUUUUAGACAAGCUGUCAUGAUGAAGACAAGAUGGGGGUUUAGCAAAAUGGAUGCUGAUUUUGUAGUAUCGAAGAUUCAACAUUCUUUUGUUAAAGGCCAUUAAAUUUUGGAUGCAAAUUUGAAAGCCAAUGAAGCCAUAGAUUUUAGACUGAAGAGUUUGAGAGGAGGAGUGAAUCUGUAAGUUGGAUAUUCAGAAGUCCAACAGUCAUGGGAUUUGGCAACGAGUGAAUAUGUUGGAUACAAUUCCUCAUGUCUAUUGUAACAAUUUCUCUGUUUGUGAAUGGCUCUUUUUUGUUUCUUUCAAAGUCCAAGCGGGUUGAGACAAGGCACCCUCUUAUCUCCUUUGUUUGUUCUAGUUAUGAAGACUUUUAACUGUUUUGUUACCAAGGUGACAAGAGAGGCUUCUUUUAUGACUUUAAAGUAAGGGAAGAUGAAGAAAAGGGUUGGAAGUCUCCCAUUUACUCUUUGCAUUAUGAUAAAUUGUUUUUUUGUGAUUGAUCACGGACUUAGUUUUGAUGUGAAGUCAUCUCAAAAUUGAGAAUAAGCUUGAAGAAAAGUGAAAAGUCCCCAAUAUUGAAGAAUUAACCUCUUUGUUGGGUUCCAAGGUGGUCAAGUUACCCUUCUCUCUUUUUUUUUUUUUUUUUUUUAAGAUAAUCAAAGAACCUUCUAAACCCUUAGGACUCUCCAUAGAGACCCAAACCUUGGGCCUUCCCUAACAAUCGACACUGGGUAAAUCAAAGUAUCAUCAAUAGCAAGAUUUAAAAUCAAGAUCAUGUGCCGCUUAUUAGAACCACAUGCAUCUCCCAUCAUUCGCCCUAACCAACUGGGCUACCCAGCGGGCAUACCUUCCUUCUUAGUCUUCCUGGGUUUUCCCUUCAAAGUCUUCUACCAUGUCAAAUGUUCUGAAGGAGAGGCUACUUAAAAGGUUAGCCUCAUGGAAGUGCUAGUAUUUCUCUACAAGUGAAGAUUAACCCUUUUGAAAAGCAUUUUAUCCAAUGUGUCCAUUUACUAUUUGUUAUCCCAAAAAGAGUUCAUAUGAGGUUAAAAAUGAUUAAGAAAGAGUGUUGGUGGCCAGUAAGUUUUUUAAAGAAGAAACCUCAUUUAGUCAACUCAUAUACAAUGUAUUUAGAUGAUAAAAUAAAAAUUAAAUUAAAUUAAAAAUGGAGGCGUUGACAUAAUCAUUUUGUUCACAAAUAUAUAAUUUAUAUUAUUAAAAUUCACAAUAAUUAUAAAAAGGAAAAUAAUUAAAAAUAACCAAAAAUAUCUUUUUUUGAGUGAAGACACUUUUAAAUUUUCUAACUAUUUUCUAACUUUCAUAUGUCAAUAAUAAAUAAAAAAUAAAUAAUUAUUUUUUACUUUUUAAUUAAAAGAAUUUUAGAAUAUCAAUUUUCAGACCUAGGGCAUGUGCAAAACUAUAUUGUUUAUGGUCAAAAUGACAAUUGAUGAGGAUGGUACAACCCAUCCACUCCAAUUUUUAAAACCAUGUUUUUAAGCAAGGCUCCAUUAGGUAAGUAGAGUUGCAGAUUUGCCAUAUAUAGGGAUAAUAUAGAACAAUUUUUGCUCACAAAAGUAGACAUCCUACAUUAGUAAAACCUUUGUAUGCCAGUACCUAGCAUUUAUAAUGCAUAACAAGAACUACAAAACACUUCUUUCUGAGGUUGUUCAAAUUUACACUUCCAUUAAAUGGACUCCUCAAAAUGGGCUACAUCAAAUUUAACCAAAUUCAGUCAAGGAAUACUAUGACUGAAUUACCACAGGGAAUCUCUAAUUUGGUUUCAUUACAGUAUCUCAGCCUAUCAAAAACCAACAUAAAAGAGUUGGCAAUUGAGUUGAAGAACCUGGGUAAAUUGAAAUGCUUGGUGUUGUUUGACAUGCCUCAACUUUCUUCAAUUCCAGAGCAGUUAAUAUCAAGUCUUUCAAUGUUGCAAGUUAUUGAUAUGUUCAACUCUGGAAUUUCUGAAAGAACAGUACUCAAAGAUGGUAUUUUGUCUGAUGAUAAUGAAGCCUUGGUUCAGGAAUUGGAGUCCUUAAAGUACUUGCAUGGUUUAGGCGUCAGUGUAACAAGUGCCUCUGCUUUCAAAAGGCUUCUAAGCUCUGACAAGCUAAGAAGCUGCAUUUCCCGUCUAUGCCUCAAGAAUUUCAAUGGUUCAAGCUCUCUCAAUUUAACAUCUCUCAGCAAUGUAAAGUGUCUCCUUAGCCUCUAUAUCUCAAACUGUGGCUCGUUGGAAGAUUUGGAGAUUGAUUGGGCUUGGGAAGGAAAGGAAACAACAGAAUCUAAUUACCUUAACUCAAAGGUCAGUUCCCACAACAGUUUCCACAGCCUUUCGUGGCUAGGUGUCGAAAGGUGUUCGAGGUUGAAGGAUCUAACAUGGCUUGUUUUUGCUCCAAACCUUAAAGUUCUUUUAAUAACUAGUUGUGAUCAAAUGCAAGAAAUAAUAGGUACCGGUAAAUGUGGUGAAUCUGCAGAGAAUGGAGAAAACCUGAGUCCAUUUGCCAAGCUCCAAGUGCUUCACUUAGAUGAUCUACCACAAUUGAAGAGCAUAUUUUGGAAAGCCCUGCCAUUUAUCUACUUAAAUACAAUCUAUGUAGAUAGUUGUCCACUUCUAAAGAAGCUACCACUCGACGCCAACAGUGCCAAGGGACAUCGAAUUGUCAUUUCCGGACAAACCGAGUGGUGGAAUGAAGUAGAGUGGGAGGAUGAGGCAACUCAAAACGCUUUUCUUCCAUGUUUCGUACCUAUUGAAGAAUAAGGGCCUGCAGCAAUCUCAGAGAGGCUACGAUGCGAUUCUCGGUGAGACCCUUUUCACAAUUAACUACCAUUUGAUCCUGAAUAGGUAUUGGUCCAAAUAAAACAUUCAAUUAUAGCAUC